rnacentral:lncRNA from 1 species
CUCCUCCUCCACUUGCGGAUCAUCAUCUUCCUUGGUCUCUUCUUCUUGUUAAAACCUCUAACCAUCAUAGUCUGGAUCAUUGAGGCCAAGCACGUGUGAGUCAUCCAGUUGAUACAUGAAGUUGGCCAUAUCCUCCACACUACAAUCAACAACAACAAGCUCUAAAUCCCAUGCCCGCAAGCCAUCACCAAUAUCUCUACCAAAAUGAAAUGGUAAUUUUUUACCUCUCUGACAUAUAUCAAACGCUUGGCGGCCAUUGCUCUCGACGGUGGCUCUGGCAAACGAGGAGGCGGAGGGGUGGUUGGGGAUGGGCUAAGACCCAUCGGGCGAGGACGGGCAUCCGUUUUAGCACUUUACGGCCUCCCUCGACUUCCUCGCGCACUUGCGGUCAUCAAGAACAAGGGGAGGCGACCUGCCAUCAUCGUGGUCUUUGCGGCCUUGCCAUCGGCCUUUGUUGACGGUUGAUGUCUACUACACAACUUUCUUACUAUAGACUUUGUUGGGCCUCCAAGCCCAGAGUUUCUAGGACAAUAGCAAAUUUUCCUCAUGUGAAUGACCUAAGGUUUAUCAAUGCGAGGGAGGUGUAGAAUGAAGGUGGUUCUUUCUGAAACAAGUCAGCAAUCAAAUACAUGUAAUAUCUUGUGUUCCUGACACACCUAAUACAAAUAUCAGUUGUAUAGGUUCAGUAGUUCGGCGAAGAUAUGGUCAUACAAGUGUAAUAUGGAUCAUAGCAAAAGGAUUUUGUAAUCUGAAUAAAUAAAAACAGCAAGGUAGCAAGCAACAAAAAUAGCUAAAAAUGAUAUUGCAAUGCUUUGAAAGAAGGCCUAGGGUUCAUGCUUUCACUAGUGGAAUCUCUCGACACCGUUAACAUAAUUAAACAUCAUGAUAAUCCCUCAAGUGCGGCAAAGAAUCACUCCGAAGUUUUUCUAUCAGAGAAAGUAGGGUAAAAUCGUGUAGGUAGCAAACCACCUCAAAGUUGUGUUUCCAAUCAAUCUAUUGAACCACCCCCAGAGUGUCACAAAUAGUCCUAGAGAUCUUACUACGACAACACCAUAUGAUACUAUUGUUCAACCUUUAUGCUUAGAGUACCUCAAUGUCACCACAUGUAUUCGCAAGUUAAUUACUAGACAUGCAAAAAGUGAUUUCAAAUCCAAAAUAUUAAAUCCAACAUAAAGAAACUUCAAAGAUCAAGACUCAAUUCACUACAAAAAUAAUACAGGGAUAUGAACAUCAUAAGGUCCAACUUUAUUAAGUGAUCUCAUGAUAGAAUCAAGAUCGAAUCCAUCAAGAACAUGCGAGAGAAAGAGAGAUUGAACACAUAGCUACUAGUACAUACUUUCAGUCUUGAGGAUGAACUACUCACACAUCACCAUGUAGGUAGCAAGGGUUGAUGAAGAUGCCUCUUGUGGUGGCUUUCUUCUUUCGAAGAGUGACGGAGAUGGCUUUUCGAUGAGAUCGCUUCAUAAUAGAGGCUUGCAGUGGUGAUAACAUUUUUUCAGAUUCGCUUCUAAGUGUUUCGGCAUAUAUACGUCAAACAAAGGCUCACGGGCCCCAGAUGGGCAUGUAGCAUGGCCACCACAUUGGUGCGCAACUAGACCACGCGGCUGCCUCGUGGGUUCCCUCGACCUCCCCCAAAUCAUAUAGGUCUCUUAUUGUCCAAAAAAAUUGUCAAAAAGUUUCAUCAUGUUUGGAACUUCCUAGGUAUGGGUUUUCUGCGAAACCAAAAACAAACAAAAAUAGAAACUGACAUCGGGCACUAAACUAAUAAUUUAGUACAGAAUUUAGUACAAAAAAUAGUAUAAAAGUGCACCAAAAUCAUAUAUAAUUAAUGUAAAUAUAGCAUGAAUACUUAAUAAAUUUUAGAUACGUUGGAGAAGUAUCAAUGUCAUGGCGGCUCACACCAAUUUUCUUGUCCCCGACCUCUUUCCUCGCAUAGGCGGUGGAACAGGGGUCGAUUACGACCGCGUCACGCCCGACGAAAUGAAGGAGCCUAUCGAUUCCAUUUAGGAGGAAUCGGGGGUUGUGGUGGUGGAAAUGGCGAGCUUUGGAGACGAUGGCAAGAAACGGUGACGGCUAGGGCAGGGACCAGCAAAAAAAUAUCAUGAGAAGUGGCGCUGAAGGAGUAAAAAUGAGAGAUUGGACUACUUCAGGGGGACCCUUAAUUUUGUACUCGACAGUUUAAGAGUUCGGUUAGGUGUGACUAGUGAUCAUAUUUACUCCUCUAGAAUUUUUGAAGAGAUCGGUUAGCCAUGCUCUUGUUGGGUUUAGUCAUACAUCAGUUAUGGGAGGAGACAGAACACACUAAGGAUGGAUGUGCCUCCUCCUAAAAGGCGAGUCGUUUCAAGGAGAGGGACUAAGGCCUCUCAUAAGUCUGUGUUGCUUCCCAGCUGUGUCUUGUUGAAUCAUGUGUGCCGAACACGCUGGUGUUAGCUGACCAGGAUUAUGUAACAAUUGGUAUUGGAGCACAUGUGCCCGGAAUAUAUCUUGAUGGACUCAGAGGUGGUCGUUCAUGGUUGGUGGGUUGAAAACGGUUGUGUUUGCACGCCCAUUGUGACCGAUGUGUGAGGAAAACAUUGUUGGGUUUAGUCCCCCUUUGGCUGUUGGAGGAGACAAAACAUCAUAAGCCCCCUCCUAAAAGGCUAAUCUUUUGGGGCAGAGGGCGUAAGGCCUCUCAUGUGUGUUUGUUGCUCUCCGGUUAGGCUUGGUUGACAUAUAUAGGCGAGAAACGCUAGUGUUAACAGACUCGGGGUUGUAUAACAACUCUAAUCAAGUCAAAAUCGGGCCGUUCGAUUGUUAACACUCACUCUGUUGCAAUAUCAUUUGUUCAUGAUUAUCAUUUAUUUCUCUACUAUUUAUGUAUGCAGAAGGUUGUGAUGAUUCCAUUACUAUAUUAUUUUAUGCUAUCAGUGUUAUAUUUAACAAAUAAUUUCGUAGCUUGGAACCUGUCUAAUCAUUUAUCCUCUAAGAUUGUAUAGAGUAUCUAAGAGCAUAAGAUGGGUGAGAUAUCUUGUAUGCCCAUCAUGGAUGAGUGCCGUUAGUUUGGACUUUGGGGGUUUGGGAACUUAUAAUUAACCAUUACAAUCAGAAUAUAUAGACCCCUAUAUAUUAAUUGUAUGUUUCUUUUUUUAGUAUUGCUUCUAGGUAUCUGAUAGGCAUCUUCGAUAGUUGCUGUAUUUCUUGGCGAAGCAUUGCAUCAAAGGUUUUCCUAGAGAUCUCUAGCAUUUCACUGUUGCUAUUAUCUGUAGACACUACCAUCCUACCCCGAGUCAACCCUACAAUGCUAUAAUUUCUGCUGUCAGGUCAUACCGGCGGGAGUAAACUCUCCUUCGUAAGUACUCCUGUAAGAAUUGAAAUAAAGAUGCAAUAGGGUCAUAAAAGCUUGCUCGUGUUUGGUUGAGAUGUCAUUUCACAUCAAAGAGGAGUUAAUGGACUGCAGGAUUUUAUUGAAGAGCGAAGGGCAUUGAGUAUAGAUGGGUACGGCCCCGCCGCUCAGUUAAAGACACCAUUUACCUAAAGUGGCGCAUCUCCUAUUUAAGAUCCAUUUACUCACAUAACCAGUGGCACAUUGAUGCACAUGCACUACACUUAUUUUGGCUCGAUGGAACCCUUCAUGCAGCUGCGCAUCAGUAAAGUGCCUUCAAGAUGUUGACACUGCGCACAUAGCUAGUAUUGCCAACAGCAUGGUGUUGGCACUUGGCAGCUUCGCCAUGAAUACACACGGAGGGCAACCACGGAAAUACGAGUAAAAUUGGCCUUACAAAUGUGUCUAGGUUCCCAUCUUAUAGAUUUCCCCUGUUUUCUUGUACAAAAGUUGUUAUAAGUUCAGGAAAUAUGAUUGUUUUUGAAGUAUGCAUUUUUUUUAAACUAACUUUAUGAUGUGCAUCACAAGAAGAGACUAAGGUUGGAGGGAUGUGGAAGGAAGUGAAGAGAGGAAGAGGACGGAGGGUCCUUGCUGUUGCAUUAAUAGCAAGUAAAGAGAAGCAUUGACCUCUCCUCCAUACUUGAGAAACCCCUCCUAUAUAAUGACCUUCGGACCUUUCAAAGUCCUCAAACAAAUACACAUCGCAGCAGUUGCGCAAGUCUUUUCUCCCCCUCUCCUCUUCUCUUCACGAGAUUCAGGUAGCAACUCUGCUUUUCCUUGUGUUCUUCCUCAUGUAUGUUAUGCAGCAGUACUUCUAUUUCGCUCACCAAAAGAGGAAAUUUAUUUUGUUAUCUAAUAUAUUCUUAUUUGUGCAGUGUGAUUGUCUGUGAGUCAUGGACCGCAGCAAUGGCAACGGCGGCGUGAGGAACGGCGCGAGGCUGGAGCUGCAGCUGAAUCUGUCGCCGCCGGUGGGGAUGGAGGUGAACGGCCAUGACGACAGCGGCUCGUCGUCGCCAAGCUCCUGCGUGUCGUCGGACGGCAGCCCUGGAAGCAAGUCGCCGAUGGUGAUCGGGGCCUGCACCCGGUGCCUCAUGUACUGCAUGGUGGCCAAGAAAGAUUACCCCACCUGCAUCAACUGCAAGCAGCCCUGCCUCGUGGACCUGCUCCAGAACGGAGGCGCCGGUGCGGGCGCCUCCGCGGACGGCGACAAGAAGCGCGGCAAGCGCAAGUGAAGAAAUAUCAACGGUGCGGGCGCGUGCCCGUCCAGUGGAUGCUCAUACGGAUGGUUAGCUCGAUCAGGCAAUGAGCGAAUCUUGAGCCUGGAGGAGUGAGUGACCGCCGUCGGAUCAUCCACUGUACAGGGUUGGGUCUCUUGAGUAACAGGCUACUUAGCUUAAGUAGUUACUUUCUUUUAUGUUGCUGGGUUGCAAUGGGUUGGUUAGUUUAAUUAGCAUUAUGGCUAGUUUUCGAUUGAUUUUGUUGUAGCAGUGGUCUUCUAAGUUUGUAGUGCCCUGUUUGGCUGAAGAAAUGCAAGACCUAACUAACGGUAUGCAGCAGCUAAGCUAGCGAUGGUUGUUUCCAAUAAUUUCUAGUCAGCUGUGUUUUCUCCACAUAAUUUCUUUUUACUUCAAAGACUUCAUUUAAUUAAGAUUCAAGCGGCAGCCCGCUUAUCCCGCGAAACACAACCAUUACUAGCUAUAAUAAAGUGCCAAGUUAACACCAAUUUUGUACUGUGAUCGAUACUGUCCGCGAAACCCGUUUCCGUGCGCUUGCAUCCUGAGGUGCGAUGGUUCGAACCGAAGGACGAUGUUGUGUUCCUUCUCCCCAUAGGUGUACCUAAUGCAAGGUUCAUUUUUGACGGCGACUAUGUCUCUGUUGUGUCCUUGAUUUUUGUGAUCCUAAUAUGGAGUGUUCCGUCUCUAACAAGUUAUAAUCUGUAUUGUCAUUUCUGUAGUUGCUUUUGAAGGCUGUAGUUCAUGUUUGCUUUUCAGUGAUCCCCACUAUACCAGUUUGGUCGUUGUAAUUUGGAUGUGUUGUAAUUCAAAGUCGGACUCGAGCCAUCAUUCUAAAAAAAGUACUUGAGCCUUGCAUAACUCUAUUCGUCGUCCAGUAAAACUACUUCAGAUGCCGUGAGCACUAUCCGAUCGAGAACCUACGACUCAGAUCGACUGUCGGGUGAGGCAUGGACUGUCUAAACACAGCAGGAUCGAUCUCUACAAAGUACAGGUACCGGUGCUCCCUGCGGGACUGACACACACGCUAAAGAAAGCAAAGGAUGGAUCAACAAGAGCAUCAUGACCCAAUUAUAUACGACACACACAUCUCUGCGCGCUAGAGUUGCACUUCAAGUGCUUCUACACAAAGGUCGGGUGCAUGUCUUGGAAGAAAUAGAUCCUACACACGCAACCCCAUGGGUUUCUUCAGGCACGGUCUGAUCAAAAGGGAGAUUAAGAAAAAGACUGACAUAUCCUAAAACCUCUCCAUCGGCAUGAGAAUUCAGCUGUCGUGGAAGGUAGCUAGUUCGGUUGAAGACUUGAAUUCGACACAUAGAGAUAGUAACAAAUUCACAUGAAUGCAUGCAGUUGGGGCAUUGCAUGCAGUAAUGGCAUGCGGUGCAAUGCAAUGCAAUUCAGUGCAACUUAGCUCCUCGCAGGGCCGGAUGGAUUUCGCCAAGAGACGUUGGUAGUAGUGGUAUUGGAGGGUAAGGAGGAGAGUACGUACUCCUUAGCUGGCUCUAUUUAUUUCAGCAUCUCUAGGUGCACCUCGUCGUUUGCGAUUUCUACGUGAUUACAAAUGCAUCAUAAUGUCCAAGUGGACGGACACACAUAUGCAUCGCCUGCAUGCAUAUGCACUUCCCCCAUCCGCAUGCACGCGCUAAGCUAUAGCCAUAUAGCCAUUUGCGGUUUAAAGGCACCUACAGAGUUAUUUUGUAAUGGCUUCUCCUCUGCUGCCUGCCCCUCACUGGAGACAUCAUCAUAAUUAAUCACAUCAUUGUAAAAGGACCAAUCAAUGGUAUAUGUAUAGCAGUCUAGCAGAUGUACCGCAAGAAACCGUGAGAAGCUAGAAGGGUAGAGCAUCUCCAGCAGAUUUGCCAAGUUUUGUUACCUACAAUCUGUUUUAGGUAAUAGGAGAAACAAUAAGUUGGGAAGAAUAUUCCUUUUGUGCAAAUACACUCAAGAUUAUCUCUAAGUUUAUCAUAUAAUAGUUCAAUGUAUGCCACAACAAACUAUAUGAAAUUUAAAUUCAAAUUCAAACAUAAAACAUAAUGGAGCAUAACACAAAGCAUACUUUAAAAUAAAAGACGACGCUUGUCUAAGAGGGCAAAGGCAUCUAAACAUAAAAAUGGUUCAUCAUGAGAGGUAUAUUUUGGAAUAGCACAGGUCUUGAUGACUUGGCUAAACACGAACAUAUUGCCGAUUGUGUAAGGGAUCAUGCGUUGGACUUUGUGGCCAUCACCUAGUCGGGUAAACGUGAUUUCCAAAUACGUGAUCUUGACCACUUUUCAUGUGGUUAUGAUUAUGUAUGGCAUGUCUUACCCAAGUCUAGAAGGUCGGGUGGACUUUUGCUUGGCAUCCACUCGACAUACCUGGAACUUUUGUCCACAUAGAAGGGUGAAUAUCACAUCAAAUUUCACCUUCGAAACAAGUCCGACAACUUCCUUUGGAGCAUGGUGGCCAUAUAUGGCGCCACUCAAGAGGAGUUUAAGUCCGCUUUUCUUAAGGAACUUGUUAAUACCUAUCGGGAUAAUCCUCACCCCAUGUUAGUUCAGAGGGGGGGAUUUCAAUAUCCUUUGAUAACAGCAGGGAAAAAAUAAUGAUUGGUUUGAUAGUAGACGGCCUUUCCUUUUCAAUGAUGUCAUUGACAACUUGGACCCGCGGGAGCUCACUAUGUCUGGUCGUCACUACACGUGAGACAAUACUCGAUGUAUUCCAACUUAUGAAAAACUUGACCGGGUGCUAGUAACCAUCGACUCGGAAUAUAAAUAUCCCCUUGCCUUGGUUCGUGCGCUAGAAAUAAAUGAGGCCUUAUCAGAUCAUGCUCCAUUACUAACUGAUUUUGGCCAAACUACUCCAAGCUCUAGGACUCCACAGUUUAAAUUCAAACUGGGAUGGAUCACUAGAGAAAGAUUUCAUGCCCUGGUUAAGAAGGUGUGGGAGCAUCAACAUAGGGGUAACACACCCAUUCAACGAUGGGACAAUCAAAUCCGUGCAUUGCAUGGACUCCUUCGUGGAUGGGCUAGACAUGCCGCUAGCAUAUACAAAAAAGAAAAGGUGAACUGUCUACAUUAAUUGAUACCAUUGAUACAACUACGGACAUGAGGCCCCUUUUGUUGUUGAGAUUGAGCAAAAAAGUCGUCUAAAUGAGUAGAUUGUUCGCCUUUUAUGCGAGGAAGAGAUUAAAUGGUACCAACGAUGCAAGGCCGACUCGCUUGUUCAAAGGGAUGACAAUAUGAAAUACUUUCAAAUGUUGGCAAAUGGCGGACAUAGAAGGAAACGUAUUUUUGCACUUGACCAUGACAAAAGUCGUAUCGAGGGCGAUGUACCGCUUAGAAACUUCAUUACUAAGUACUACAAACACUUGUGCAGAAAAUCCUAGCUAAGGUGUGGCAAAAAGGGACCUGCUCGUGUGGACACCCGACACCACCAAUAUGGUGCCACUUUUAAAAUAUAGUGGUGGUGUUGGAGACUACGCUAGAAGUAUUUUGAGUACCUAUGGCGUUCGAGAGAGUUGCACGUUGGAACUAUAAUAUUUAGCUAAUAAAAAAUACUACCAGCUUCACAAACUAAAAGUUUCAGCAAUUCACAAAAUAGUACCGGCUAGCUUCAGAAACUAAACAUAAUGUACCAAAUUCACAAAAGAGAAGUAGCAACUUCACAUGUAUCUAGCUAUGUCCCCCCUCUCGACACUAACUACAUUCCUCUAAGGACUAACUUAAGCUCACGAAGCUUAUUCCUAUUCAUCUGCCCCUCUAUGAUGUAAUGUUCUUUCUCCGCCUUCAGAUGAGUCUUCUCCUUUUUUGAUACUUGUAUUUCCUUCUUGAGCUCUGUUAUCUCGAGGUUCAGCAAGUCGACCUGACAUUCUAGAUUCAAAAUCUUGUGGUAGACAAUGUAUUUGUCGUUAAUAACCUUGUCCUUCUCCUUCUUCAGUGAGUCAUUCAACUCCUGCAAGGCCUUCAUGGUAGACUGACGUGCCACGGUCAACUUGUGAUUGAGCAUGUCCCUGUCACAUGUCUCCUGCACAAUGAGUGCUGGAGAAGGCGGACCAGCUAGUAUGUAUGUCUGGCAAGGGUUUCAAAUCAUCAAUAAUUAAUUAAUGGUUAGAUUUAUGGAUGUUUGCAAUGCUAGAACAUGCAUGUUUUUUGUAACCAUAAUUACCUGGUUGGUGCUCACAUCGCCUUUCUCUAAGCCAUACCCAGGCCAACGGUUAGAGGAGUCUAUCCACAAACUAGAGUCAGCCAUGCUACCAAACACAUAAACAUGAGAUAAAUUAAAUAAUAACGAAUUACGAGUGUGCUACCAAACACAUAUAUAUGCUACCAAACACAUAUGAAAAACUAAUUAUAAGUGUGCUCAUGACCCAUAUAUGUAACCUCAGCCUCCUAGGAGGAUUGUUGAGAAAUGGCGCGCCACAAGCAAGAGUUGUGGCUAGCCAUUUCUCCACUAGUGAAAGUGAUUUUUGGUCCUUCAGCUGAAAGUUCCUUUGCCCUGGAUGAGUCUAAUACUCAUGAAAUCCCUCAAGUUUCCGAGGCGGAAAAUGAUUUUAAGCCUCUCCGUUCACUGAGGAGGAAAUUCACACUGUUGUAUUUCAAAUGGAACACAACAAGGCCCUGGUCCACACGGUUUUUCGGUGAAGUUUUAUCAAUGUUUUUGGGAUAUGAUUAAGGUGGACUUGGUUGAGUUUUUUAACCAAAUACAUAUCAAAAACCUUGACAUUGCCCGUUUAAAUUUUGGGAAAAUUAUUCAACUGCCCAAGACUAAGGAGGCUAGUAGUAUUCAACGACCGAUUUGCCUCCUAAAUGUCAGCUUUAAAAUCUUUACAAAGGUUGCAACAAAUCGGUUGAAUGGGGUGACUGAACAUGUGGUCAAACCCACUCAAGCGGCAAUUAUGCAGGGAUGCAACAUACUAGAUGGAGUGGUUGUGUUGCACAAAUACGUACAUGAGCUUCAUCAUAAAAAGUUGAGCGGAGUCAUCCUAAAAAUUGACAUCGAAAAUGUCUAUGAUAAAGUAAAGUGGCCCUUUCUCUUGCAAACUUUAUGCAUGAAGGGGGUUUUUGCCAAAAUGGUGUCGAUGGGCGGAGAGUUUUAUUUCUGGAGGUAGUGUGCUAUCAAAGUCAAUGAUGAUGUUGUCAAAUAUUUUUUGAACAAGAAGGUUCUUUGCCAAGGGGACCCCAUAUCCCCUAUUUUUGUUCAACAUCGUGGCCGAUAUGUUAGCUAUCCUUAUUGAGAGGGCUAAGGUGGCCGAUCAGAUUAGUGGUGUGAUACGUCUCCAACGUAUCUAUAAUUUUUUAUGGUUCCAUGGUAUUAUCUUGUCAAACUUUGGAUGUUUCGUAUGGCUUUUAUAUCUUUUUUGGGACUAACUUAUUAACUCAGUGCCAAGUGCCAGUUCCUGUUUUUUCGUGUUUUUGACCCUUUUCAGAGGAUAAUAUUAAACGGAGUCCAAACGGAAUAAAACCUCUGAAAAGAUUUUUUUUCUGCAACAGAAGAUAUGCACGGAGCUUGAGAACCAAGGCAGACGGCACUAGGGAGGCCACAAGCCCCCUAGCCGCGGCCUGGGGGCGCGCCUAGCAGGCUGGUGGGCCCCCUGUGGCUCCUCUGCCCUACUUCUUCCGCCUAUAAAUCCUCGAAAAAUCCAAAACCACAGAAGAGAGCCACGAAAAUACUUUUCCGUCUCCGCAACAUCCCAUCUAGGGCACAUUCUGGUGCCCUGCCAGAGGGGGGGAUUCGGACACGGAGGGCUUCUUCAUCAACACCAUUUCCUCUCCGAUGAUGCAUGAGUAGUUCACCAUAGACCUUCAGGUCCAUAGCUAGUAGCUAGAUGGCUUCUUCUCUCUCUUGGAUCUUCAAUACAAAGUUCUCCAUGAUCUUCAUGGAGAUCUAUCCGAUGUAAUCUUCUUUUGCGGUGUGUUUGUCAAGAUCCGAUGAAUUGUGGAUUUAUGAUCAGAUUAUCUAUGAAUCUUAUUUGAGUUUCUUCUGAUCUCUUAUAUGCAUGAUUUCAUAUCCUUGUAAUUCCCUUCGAGUUGUGGGUUUUGUUUGGCCAACUUGAUCUAUGAUUCUUGCAAUAGGAGAAGUGCUUGGUUUUGGGUUCAUACCGUGCGGUGACCUCACCCAGUGACAGAAGGGGUAGUGAUGCACGCAUCAUGUUGUUGCCAUCAAGGGUAAAAAGAUGGGGUUUAUAUCUAUUGCAUGAAUUUAUCCCUCUACAUCAUGUCAUCUUGCUUAAGGCGUUACUCUGUUUCUCAUGAACUCAAUACACUAGAUGCAUGCUGGAUAGCGGUCGAUGUGUGGAGUAAUAGUAGUAGAUGCAGAAAGUAUCGGUCUACUUGUCUCGGACGUGAUGCCUAUAUGUACGAUCAUUGCCUUAGAUAUCGUCAUUACUUUGCGCGGUUCUAUCAAUUGCUCGACAGUAAUUCGUUCACCCACCGUAAUAUUUGUUAUCAUGAGAGAAGCCUCUAGUGAACACUAUGGCCCCCGGGUCUACAUCACACCAUAUUUUCAGCCCUACACUUUUACUUUGUUGCACUUUCCGCCUUCAAAUCUCACCUUGCAAUCAAUCAUGAAGGGAUUGACAACCCUUUUGUAGCGUUGGUUGCAAGUUUGUUGUUUUUGCGCAGGUACAGUGGAGACUUGGCUUGAUACUCAUAGUGGAUUGAUACCUUGGUUCUCAAACUGAGGGAAAUACUUACUGCUACUGUGCUGCAUCACCCUUUCCUCUUCAAGGGAAAAAAACAACGCAAGCUUAAGAGGUAGCAAGAAGAAUUUCUGGCGCCGUUGCCGGGGAGCAUCAAGUGAAGCUUAUCCAAGUAACCGUCGCAAACUCUUCUCUUGCAUUUACUUUUGUUGCCUCUCGUUUUCCUCUCCUCCACUUCUGAAAAACAAAAAUUUACAAAAAUAUUUUCCUUUUUCGUUCGUCCUUUUCUUUUCCUUGCUUUCUCUUCGCGUGUGUGCUUGUCUGCUUGUUGAAGUCACCAUGACUAAAAACAUCAAACUUUGUGACUUCUCGAAUACUAAUAAUAAUGAUUUUAUUAGUACUCCGAUUGCUCCCGCCACUAGUGCGGAAUCAUAUGAAAUCAAUGCUGCUUUGCUGAAUCUUGUUAUGAAAGAGCAAUUCUCUGGCCUUCCUAGUGAAGAUGCUGCAUCCCAUCUUAAUACCUUCAUUGAGUUAUGCGAUAUGCAAAAGAAGAAAGAUGUGGCUAAUGAUGUGAUUAAAUUGAAGCUAUUUCCGUUCUCAUUGCGAGAUCAAGCAAAAACUUGGUUUUCAUCUUUGCCCAAAAAUAGUAUUGAUUCUUGGAACAAGUGCAAAGAUGCUUAUAUAUCCAAGUAUUUUCCACCGGCUAAGAUUAUCUCUCUCCGUAAUGAUAUCAUGAAUUUUAAGAAACUAGAUCAUGAACAUGUUGCACAAUCUUGGGAGAGAAGGAAAUUGAUGAUUAGAAAUUGUCCCGCUCAUGGCUUGAGUCUUUGGAUGAUUAUACAAAUCUUCUAUGUUGGUUUGAAUUUUGCUUCUAGAAAUAUCUUGGACUCCGCCUCCGGUGGAACUUUCAUGGAAAUCACAUUAGGAGAAGCCACAAAACUCCUAGACAAUAUCAUGACAAACUAUUCUCAGUGGCACACUGAAAGGUCACCUACUAGUAAAAGGUACACGCUAUAGAAGAAAUUAACUCGUUCAGUGCUAAGAUGGAUGAGUUAAUGAAAUUGUUUGCUAGUAAAGGUUUUCCUUUAGAUCCAAAUGAUAUGCCCUUGUCUUCCUUGAUUGAGAGUAGCAAUGAAAGCUUGGAUGUUAAUUUUGUUGGUAGGAAUAAUUUUGGCAACAACAAUGCUCUUAGAGGAAACUACAUUCCUAUGACUUUUCCUAGUAAUCCCUCUAAUAACUUUGGCAACUCCUACGACAGUGCUCAUGGAAAUUACAAUAAAUUCCCUCUGGUCGAGAGAGUAAUAUUAAAGAGUUUAUCAACUCGCAAAAGAUUUUCAGUGCGUCCAUAGAAGAAAAACUACUCAAAAUUGAUGAUUUGGCUAAGACACUUGGCUUGAUACUCCUACUGGAUUGAUACCUUGGUUCUCAAACUGAGGAAAAUACUUACUGCUACUAUGCUGCAUCACCCUUUCCUCUUCAAGGGAAAAAAACCAAUGCAUGCUCAAGAGGUAGCAUGGUGUUGUUCCUCAUUUGGUAGAAGAAGGUCUGUCUAUAUUAGAAUAUGCAAAUGACAUUAUUCUUUUUAUGGAUAAUGACCUUGAUAAAGCAAGAAACCUCAAGCUGAUUUUAUGCACAUUUGAGGAGCUCCCUGGUCUCAAAAUGAAUUUUCAUAAAAGUGAGCUUUUUUGCUUUGGUGAUGCUGCAGAGUUAGUAGUUGAGUAUGCUGAAAUUUUUGGCUACCAUCUCACGCAGUUUCCGAUUAGAUAUCUCGGUGUUUCAAUUCACUAUCGGCGCUUAACUAUGUUGAGUGGAAGUAUGUGGAAGAGAGACUUGAUAAACGACUAGCUAGAUGGAAGGCCAGACUCUUGUCAUAUGAAGGGAGAUUGAUUUUGAUCAAUUCUUUCCUUAGAAAUAUGGUCUAUACGUGUUGUCUUUUUUCCACUUACCAAGAGGGGUUCUUCAGCAUCUAGAUUACUUUAGAUCCCGAUUUUUUGGCAAUGUGAUAAUGAGUCCAAGAAAUAUCGGCUAGCUAGUGAGCUAAGGAAUUCAAGAUCUUGAGAUUAAGAGCAUCGCUCUUAUGAGUAAAUAGGUUUACAAAUUAUUCACUGGAAAUGGAGUGUGGCAGGAAAUCAUUGUAACAAAUACGUGGGGUCCAAAGCCAUUUCUCAAGUUCCUUGGAAACACGGUGAUUCACAUUUUUUGUAUGGUGUCAUGAAGGCCAAUGAUUGUUUUCUUCAGUUUGGCACUUUCUGGGUUAGUGAUGGUUCUCAAGUUUGAUUCCGUGAAGAUACGUGGCUAGGGACCACCCCACUUAUGGUGUAGUAACCUAGCUUGUACAAGAUUGUCAUGCAUAAGUUUGUUACGAUCAAACAAGUUUUGGGACAAUAAAACCCUCGUAUUUCUUUUUGUAGGGAUCUCUUGUAUCCUCGCUUGGUAGCAUGGAAUGAAUUACUCUCUCAUCUGGAGGACAUUCAAGUGACAGUUGAGCUGCACAAGUUUCGAUGGAAGCUGCAUCAGAAUGGUUGUUUCUGAGUCAAGUCAUUGUACGAUGCAAUGGUUCAUAGCAAUGUUCCCCCUGAUAACAAAAAAAUGUGGAAGCUAAGAUUUCCUAUAAGAGUGAAGAUAUUUCUCAGGUUUUUAAGUAGAGGGGUUAUCUUAAAUAGAGAGAACGUGUCACCACGUAACUGGCAAGGUAGUAAGACAUGUGUCUUUUGCCAAAAUGACGAGUCUAUUAAACACUUAUUUUUUGAGUGCGUGUUCACUCGGGCAGUAUGGGCCAUUGUUCAAGUAGCUUCAAACCUAUACCCCCCACAUAGUGCACGUAACAUUGAUACUUGCGAUCUGCGUUGGAUUUUCCGUGAAGAGGAACAAGUAAUUUCCACACAAUAUGGGUAAGUAUUUCCCUCGGUUAUCAAACGAAGGUUUAUCGAACCAAUAGGAAUAUGAAUCUGCAACCCUCUAGCUCCACACAAAAGAGCAAACAACUUGCACCCAACGCGGGCAAGAGGGUUGCCAAUCCCCUUUAUCUCGUUAUUCGCAAGAGAGUGCGGUGUGUAGAUAAUUGUAGAGAAUUGUAACUUGCAAAAUAAAAUAAAAGAGAAAUAAGAACGGCAAGGAACUUAUAAGUUCUGAAUAUAUAAGUAAAUAGACCAGGGGCCAUAGUGUUCUCUAGUGACAUCACUCAUGAAAGCAACAUAUGGUGGGUAAACAAAUUAUUGUUGAGCAAUUGACAGAACAUUAUAUAGUUAUGCGAUUUUCACGGCAAUGAUCAUGUGUAUAUAGGCAUCACGUUCAUAAGCAAAUACAUUGACUCCUGCGUGCACCUACUACUAUUACUCCAUUUCAAGAGCGCUUCUACGCUUGCCUCCCUAAGUGUUAAAGUCAUGACAACCAUAGUAAUGCUUGGAGAACAAAGACAUGAUGUAGAUAAAGUAAACUCAACAAAUAUGAAUAAACCCCAUCGUUUUAUACUUAGUGGUAACAACACAAAGUUGCAUCUUGUCCCCUUCUGUCACUGGGAUAUAGAAACUCGCUAGGUUGAACUCAUCACAAAACACCCCUCUCAUUGAAGAAAUACGAAACUACUUGGCCAAAGAAAUUCAAUAGAUCGAAGAGAAUUACGAAGCUAUGAUGAUCAUGCAAAGAAGAAUCAUAAAACUCAGAGAAGAAUCAAAUAUUUUUCAUGAAUAAUCUGAAUGUAAACCCAAAAAUGCAUGGGAUCCCAACAAACACACCGUACAAAAAAAUUAUAUCGGAUUGAUAAAAGCGAAGAUGCAAUGAUCAUUGUAUUGAAGAUCUAGAGUGUAACACCCCGAUAUUCAUGCUACGGUAAUCUCCCCCUGAUGGUCCAUGUCAUCACCUUUUUGCUAAUCUAAUUGUCCCUUGAUCAAAAUUCAAGUCAAACUCAAAUUUAAGAUAAAGUGAAAAACUAAUAUUUAUUCAAACAACAAAAUAAAAAUAUUCUAUAUAUUGCAAAUAUUCACCAACUAAUUUUUAUGAAGAAACCAACAUAAUUUGAAUUCCCCAAUGGCCCCUAGAAAUAUUUAAAGUGACCCAACAAUACUAAAUUUGGCCAUUUUGAAGUAAACAUAUAUUUAUGCUUUUCGAAAAUAUGUGAAAUUUAUGGACAGCUCCAAAAUAUUGCAUAGUAAUUAUGAGACAAUUUUCAUGUUUAACAAAACUCAAUUUUUGUAAAAGAAAAAUGCAAAACAUUAAUUGAAAAAAGAAACACAAACUAAUAGACAUAGAAAGGUAAAAGAAAAAUAGAAAAGGGGCACUAUGCACUUUGGCCCACUUAACAAUAGUGCAGUCGAGCCCAACCUGGGCCUUCUUCCUCCUGGCUACAGGAGCAGACGGAGGGAAUUCCCUAUAUGUUGCUCACUACGACAAGUAGUCGGCGCUUUGCACAGGAGGUACAAACAAGCGACAGAGUUUGGGCCGGACCGUUAACGGUUUUCACCGUUUUUUUCUGGUUUUGAGAACUUUCUAGAAGAUUACCUAAAUCGUUUUUUUUUCUUUUUUCUUUUGUUUCUUUUUUUGUUCCUGCUUUAAAAAUGUUCUCGAUUUUUAAAAAUGAUUCGGAAUUUGAAUUGUUUUUCCAAAAUUUGUAAAAAUGUUCUAGAAUUUUUAAAAAAGUUCCGGAAUUUGAAAAAAUAUUCUAUAAUUUGUAAAAAUAUUCCAGAAUUUGAAAAAAUAUUCCCGAAUUUGAAAAAUGUUGUGGAAUUUGAAAAAAUGUUCCCNNNNNNNNNNNNNNNNNNNNNNNNNNNNNNNNNNNNNNNNNNNNNNNNNNNNNNUUUGCAGUUGUUUCCGGAAUUUAAAAAAAUGUUCCAGAAUUUGAAAAAUGUUUGGGAUUUGAAAAAAUGUUUCCACUUUCAAAUGUUUUGCACAAAGAAACGUGAAUAUUUGUCGCCGACUCAACAAAUGUUGUGGAAUUUCAAAAAAUGUUCUAGAUUUCCAAAUUUGUUUAUAAUUCUAAAAAUUUCAUGUUUUAAAAAAAAAUCGCAAAUUCAAAAAAAUUGUGUUUUGGAAAAAAAAAUCUGCGUUUCGAAAAAUGUUCGUGUUUUUCAGACAAUUUUUUGGGACAUUUGGAAUACAGUUUGUAUUUAAAAAAUGUAGUUGGUUUUACAUUUUGUUCAAUUGUUCUGUCGUUGUCUUCCUUUUUUUCAAAUAUUGCACGGCAAAGAGGGCACAAGAGCUUGGUUGUUGCUGUGGCUAGCGCAUCACGCGCAUGACUUAGAAUUAUAGGGUUCGAAUGCUAGGGUGUUUUACUGUUUUUUGACCUCGUGAUCAUGAAUUGGGCCGACCCAGGCGAGCCGCCCCUUUGCGAAACGCCAACUCCUUGACGCAAAGAUUUCACAUAGGAGGUCAUCAGAGGGAGGGUUUGUCGGCAAUCCACCGCGCCAUAGCCGGCGAUGCCUCUAUGGCGGCCAUCCGGCGCACACCCCAGUCUAUAAGGCCAUCCGUCGCCCCCACAGUCGAACCCUAGCCCCGGAUCCCCUCGCCUCCUUCCUCUCCGCCGCCCUGGACGCUGACCCACCCCGGCGCCUCGGUCGCCGCUGCCCACGUCGACGUGCCGCCUCACCGCGGACUUCGUCGAGCCUCAUUGCCCCCUCGUCUACAGCGGAGGGUGAGCUCCCCUCUCUCUGUGUCCCUGCCACCCCGCUCGUCCCCAUGGCCGCACCGGUCGCGCCCACACCCGCUCAUGCGGCCGCUGCCGCCUGCUCCCAUGCGCUGCACUCUGUAGCGUCCGUCCGCGUGCACGCUCGUGCGCCCUUGACCACUGCUGCCCGCUGCUCUGCUACUUAUUGUUAUUGCUCGACUGCUGCUGCCAGCAGCCGCCCGAGCUCGCGUCUGCCGCUGCUCGUUGCUCGCUACCGUUGAUUGUUGCUGCAUGUCACCUGAUCUCUGUCCCACCUAGGAGCGGCAGUAGUGUGUCGCAGCAACAUGCGGCAACAACGAGAUCAGGUGACAUGCACGUUUGCAUGUCAUCGUGUGACUUGCGGCCUAAAUUCAAAUUUAAACAUUAUAAAAAAAUCUAAAAAAAUUAUGCAUGUUCAUAGCACAUAUUAAGAUAAUCCUUAAAAAAUUCAGAUCAAAAUUCGAAACAUACACUCAGAAACAAAAAAGAGAAACUCAGAUGUGAAUAGUGUAUACACAACCAUUCAUGACUAUUCAUGACAGAUUUCUCUUUUUUGUUUCUUGAUGUAUGUUUCGAAUUUUGAUCUGAAUUUUUUAAGGGUUAUUUUAAUAUGUGCUGUGAACAUGCAUGAUUUUUUUCAGAUUUUUUUGCAAUGUUUAAAUUUAAAUUUAAACCGCAAGUCACACGGUGACAUGCAAAGGUGCAUGUCACUGAUCUGUGUCCUCCUAGAUGCUGCUAUAUAUUGUUGUUUGCUACUGCCUCUAGGUGCUGCUCCUGCUUGCUUGCCGCUGCUAGAUGUUGCUCUAGCCGCUACUGGUUACUGUUUGAGCCCCUACUAAGGGCCAUGGCUGUGGCCAUGCUGUGUGCGUGUGUGUGCACAAAAAACCACUAGUCGGCGGUCGUGCAAAUUAGAUUAGGGCUAAUUUUCUAGUUAAUUUAACUACUAGCCAAUAUCAGUGCCCCCUGUUUUAAUUAGUGGAGCUAAUCCCGUGUUAACGUGAUAAAUCCCCUUUUAGAUUGGAGAACGCUAGGCGUCUGUCAGAUGAUUUUUAAAAAUUAUCUGUCACCUAGCUAGCCGUCGGAUGCCAAUCUAAUGCCCCGCAUCCCCGCCGCAUGGUUAGUAGUUAUUUCCUGAAACGACGCUCGAAUUGCGGAAACUUUCGCUUUGUUGCAAGAAAUAAAUUUUGGAUCCAUUAAUUCCUGAAAUAACGGUCGAGUUUCAGAAACAAUUUGCUUCUUGCAGAUUUUUUUUCUUCGUUUUUCUAUAACAUAGGUAUUUUUAUGGAAGAAUUUUUUGCAACAACGGUCGAGUUUCAGGAAUUUUUGCAACAAAAGUCACGUUGCAGCCGGGAUCCAUGCUCAACGGAGAGUCGAGCGCGCGAGCAGGGACACAUCUCCAGCGAGGCAGAGAAGCUCCCCGGCGGCGGGAGCUCGCCAGCAUCCGCGCCGCACACCUCCUCGUUCGCCGCGCGAGGUGGGGAUCCGGCGAUCCGGCGAGGUGGGGAUCCGGCGAGGGGCUGGAUCUCGUCGGCGAGGUGGGGAUCCGACGAGCUGGCGAGGACUGACGGCGUUGGCGGUUCACCGGACUCCGGCAGGCUCGUCCCCGGUAGCACAGGAGCCACGACGAGGAACCUGGAGUACUCCAGCUUCAGCCCCCGUUCCUGAAACAACGCUCCAGUUUCUGAAACAACGAGCCAGUUUCGGGAAAUGGUUCGUGAUCGAGGGAAGAUCUAACGGAUGAGCGGGCGGCGAAUGGAUCAACCGGAUCAGCCGGUGGGAUGUAAUCUUUUCCCUUUUAGAUUUAGUGAAGUAUUAGACAAUGACAUGUGGGUCCAUUGACCCAGUUGACCAGUUUGACUGGUCAACUACUGACUUGACCCCCACUCGCCCACUAUCAGCCCCAUAACACGAUGCUCUACACCCAGCCCUUUUCUGCUGAUUUUCGGAUUAAAAAUAAUCUGAUAGAUUUUUCGAAAUGAUUAAAAUUUUAGAAAAUCAUAGAAAAUAAAUCAUAACCUGGAUGAAAAUAAUAUGUAUAGGAAAGUUGCUCUGAAAAAUAUAUCGAAUCUAAAUAUGCUAUGCACAUAGCUGACAUCCCUCUAACAUAAUGAACAUGGACAUGUAGCAUCAAGAUCAUAUGUUCGGAAAAUGGGUGGAGCCGGGAAAAUAUUACCACAUAUUUCCCCUCUUCUUUUUAAAAUACUUAGGGGUCCUUAGAGCAUGUCACCCGCACAUCUUGUUGUGCUAUUGCAUUUGAUUGCUCAGUUAUUUAUUUGUUUCCCCUCCAUUACUUUUCGGUAGACCCCGAGACCGAUGUUGAUCCGGUGAUCGACUACUUCCGAGUCGAGUAUCCGUAUGUGUGUGCAAAGCAACCAGGCAAGCAGAUCCCCCUUGAUUAUUCUAAUAUCAUCCAUUCUUUCUCCCUCGUGCUUGCAUAAGAUUUUGCUACUUUUGUAGAUAGCUCAUAUUCUCAUGCAUAUCUCGUUUUACUGUUGUUAUACUCUAUUCCAUAUUAAAAGCUUAGUAUAGGUUUAUUAGUGAUCCCGAGUGACCCCACUUAGUUCUAGUUGCCUCUGCUUCAUCAUGGAAGAAUUCUAGACAUUGAAGACUUUAAGACUCAAGCAUCCGAUCGACAAGCCAUGACCCAUCACAUCACCUCACAUCCCUUAGGUUUCUGACCCUGCACAGCUUCUAUCGAGUACUAAGGGUGAUAACUCAUAAUGUACUCCGGAUGUUAAUUUUUAGUGUAGAUAACCGGAGGUGGAUUACGGAGGGUGAUUCCUCCUUCACCACUUCCGAUAACGACUCUGUCGUUCAACCCCUCAAGCAUGAACCAUCGAGGGUGAUUCCUCCCUAGUCACCUUGACGGUUACAUCCAUUGGAAUAAGUCGAGGGUGAUACCUCCGAUUCCUUUCAUUUUAUAGACACGCUAUUACUUUGACUUACUACUGGAACAUGAGGAGAUGUGUGGAGCGGGUGGAUAUCCGCAUGAAUGUGACGAUGCGUGGCCGGGUAUUCUUGGUCAUUGCCACAUGAUGACCCACAAGUAUAGGGGAUCAAUCAUAGUACUUUUGAUAAUUAAGGGUGUCUAACCCAAUGAGGAGCUGAAGGAAAUGACAAGCGGUUUUCAGCAAGAUAAUUUCUGCAAGCACUGAAAUAGCGGUAACAAGUUAUUUGGUAGAAAGGUAACUGUAACAAGUGACAUGUAGCAAUAGUAAGAAUAGGUGCAGCAACAUAGCCUAAUCCUUUUCUGGCAAAGGACUAGCCGGAACGGUUUAUUAUAAUAGACAAAGCGUUCUUGAGGGCACAUGAGAAUUUCAUCUAGCCACUUUCGUCAUGUCGGGUUAAUUCGCGUUCGGUACUUUGAUAAUUUGAUAUGUGGAUGGACCAACGCUUGGGUCCUUUUCUUACUUGAACAAGCCUCCCACUUAUGAUUAACCCUCCUGCAAGCAUCCGCAACUACGAGAGAAGUAUUAAGAAUAAGUUCUAACCAAUAGUUAAACAUAGGGAUCCAAAUCAGCCACUUACUGAGUAGCGUAUAAACUAGGGUUGAAGUUUCUGUCACCCUUGCAACUCACCAUAUAAUUACUACUCACCAGUGUUAAACAUGUUCAUGAUCAGAGAGGUAUUAAAUAGCAUAAUGGAUCAAAACAUAUGAUCUUCCACCAAAUAAACCAUAAAGCAUCAACUAUAAGAUGUAGUCAACACUACUAGUCACACCCUAGGUACCAAUUUGAGAUUCUGGUACAAGAUUGAGCACAAGAUAUGAAUUAGGGUUUUGAGAUGAGAUGGUGCCGUUGAAGCUGUUGAUGAAGAUUGACCUCCGCAAGAUGAGAGGGUUGUUGGUGAUAAUGAUGGCUUCAAUUUCCCCCUCCGGGAGGGAAGUUCCUCCGGCGGAAUCGCUACGCCAGAGGGCAAAAGUGCUCCUGCCCAAGUUCUGCCUCCAGACGACGGCGCUUUGUCCCGAAAGUCCUCUCUUGAUUUUUAUUCAGGUCAAAAGAGAAUUUAUACUAGCAGAUGAUCACCAGAGGUGGGCCAGGGGGGCCACUAGCCAGCACGCCGUGCCAGGGGGCUUGCACGCCCUGGUGCCUAGUGGGCACCUGGCAGCCCCCCUCCAGUACUUAUUGCCUCCAAUAUUUCUUAUAUAUUCCAUAAAAAAUCCUUGUGAAAUUUCAGCCCAUUUGGAGAUGUGUAGAAUUGGUAUCUUUGACGUAGCUUUUUCAGGUCCAGAAAUCUAUGUGCUGGCAUUCUCCCUCUUGGUGUAAACCUUGCAUAUUAUGAGAGAAAAGGCAUUAGAAUUACCCCAUAAAGUGGUAUAAUGAAUAAAAACACUAUAAAUAACAGUAAAAACAUGAUGCAAAAUGGACAUAUCAGCACACAUCCUCAAGACGGGGCGACGGGACCACAUAUCAUCGAUCGAUAAUCGUCACCGCAGUUGACAAAACAUUAAUGGGUUGGGUAUUUUAUCUAAGUUGGUCGCUUGACGUUUACGCACUAACCUUCACGGGGGAGAAGUUAUGGGUACUCGGCGUCGUUGUAUCAGCCAAAGCUUUUCAGACGUUAGCAUUGGAGCGACGCUCGCUCGAGUGGUCCGUAUAAGCAUUGAUCUUGUAUAAGAGGUGCCAGGACUGAUCUCGGUCGCUCUCACAACAGUCAAGAGUGCAAAGGGUGAUAGGCCCAAGACCCCUACAUUCUUAGGAUUUAGACCAGCGGGCUAGCCUCUGUGUUGAUCUAAGUAGGGCUACGACAUGUUGAUUUCCCAAGGCCGGGCAGCCCAGGAAAUUGUGUCUGACUAGAGGUAUCAAGCGUCUUGGGAAAUGUGGUGGACCCCUGCGCAGAUGAUUGAACUAUUCCAAUAGUCGUGUAAAGGGUAAUAGGACGACUUGGAGUUGUAUACCAAUCUAAUACAACUAGAAUUGUGAUUUAAAUUGAAAUGUUGGCUCCGAGAUUGCUUUCUCGCUGGGAGUCGAGGAAGGAUCUCUAGGCGUACUUAAUAAAUUUGUUGCAUAAUAUUUAUGACAUAUGUGUUACUAACUACAUUCUUUUAAUGCUACAAGACACUGAAGAUGAUAGUCUUGGAUAGGACUAGACCCUUCCCUCUAUUCCGGCAUUUCUACAGUCACAUCAAAGAUAUAGCCUCAUUCAUUUGAUACUGAUGCAUACUUAGUAUAGUUCUGAUGUCAGUCUUAUGAGUACUUUGGAUGAGUACUCACCGUUUCUUUGCUCCCCCUUUUCCUCUUGAUAUGAUUGCCACGACUAGAUGACUUAGCCUAGGAGCCAGUUGAUCCCGCUGACUACUACUACUACCCCCGACGGAGCCUACUACUACAUGGAGGCUGCUGACGACCAGGAGUAGUUAGGAGGCUCCCAGACACAAGGCCUUGCCUUUUAGAUACGAUGUUAUGUUUGUGCUAGCCUUCUUAAGGUAAAAUUUGUUUACUUAUGUCUAUACUCAGAUAUUAUUUGCUUCCGCUAAAUCGUGUGUAAUCGAGCUUAUGUAUUAAAGCCCUCGAGGCCACUAGCUUGAAAUAUGAAGCUUGUAUGACUUUAAUUUGUGUCUCGAGUUGUGUUGUGAUAUCUUCCCGUGAGAACCUAAUCUUGGUUGUACGCAUUUGCAUGUAUGAUUAGUGUACGAUCCAAAUGGGGGUGUCACAAGUUGGUAUCAGAGUCGACUGCCUGUAGGUAGCCCCCUUUCCAACUCCAACUCCUUGUCCUAAGUUGAGUCUAGUACUUGAAAAACUUUUACUAACUUUAUUGUGUGGCUUACGGGCCCACAUCUCAAUCUAUUGGCCACGAUCUUUUACUCCUCUUCUAUACUUUGGGUUCUGAUCUUUCUUCUCUUUCAGGUUAAUAAUUUUGCUAAAUCUAACUCUAGGUUCCCAUAACUACUUCCUCCUGGAGAGCCCCUCAUUCCAGAUGAUGGCUUGAUUCAUCAGAAUACUACGAAGGUACUCUCUCAUGUUCUCUCGAGAACUUGUGCUCAUCGCUUUUGUGGUUCCCUUCCUCCGUCAACCCCUAUGGAUGACUACUUACGAAUGUCGAUCAUACUUUAUUUUCCAAUUGCUCUUGUUGUUACAAGGUACAACGAAUUAUUUUACCGGGGAUUCAUUCAUCCUUAGUUGCCGUGGGUUUCACAAGUCCUUUGAAUUGCUUUUCGAUCUUCCGAAAUCCUCAGUAGCCUAUUGAUAUUGACUUUCCUCAACUGCUUGCAUUAUGGUUAAUUCCAUAUGUCUAGCAACAUUCAUUAAAUCCUUUGUGAUUGUCCUUUGAUCCUAUUGAUUCAGCCUAUGUGUGAAUUUACACAAUCAUCAAUUGACCAUCAUAAAUUAUUUGUCUGGCUCACGCGUCUUUCCAAACCGGAGCUGGUUCUCGGCAAAUCAACCUUGAUUGAUUGCACAUCUAAGUCGUUUCAGCUUACUUGUAUUUGAUUGGAGUAUAUGAUUCUGAUACACCAACCUGGAAAUCAUAAUUCCUUUGGUAUUUAAGCAUCAAAAUUAUUCAAAUGUUCUGUAAUCCAAUGCCUUACACUCNNNNNNNNNNNNNNNNNNNNNNNNNNNNNNNNNNNNNNNNNNNNNNNNNNNNNNNNNNNNNNNNNNCACUCUUUCUUCCUCUGAUUGAGUACCCAUACUCACAUCAGGUCCUUUGUGGACCGCCAUACCCAUUGUUGGGUUUAUCCGAUAACAUCCUUCACAUUUAAGAUUAUUGUGAUAUUCUUCCCCUAAUGCAUGAUGUCAUUGGUAAAUUGUGUCUCCUCCCUCUAAUAAGUUGUAACCUAUGCUUUUGUCAGCCAUGCUAGUCAAGCGUGUGUUAAUUACUCUUAAAAUUUGUGGUAUAUGUUCGUAAGAUGCCCAGUUGGUUUGAACCUAUGCCUUCCCUAAUCCAUGUGAACCCGAGAGUUUUCAUGAGUCUUACUCUUCCGACGUUUUGCCAUAUAACCUUUCAAAGUUACAUCUUCAUCAAAGGCGGGGAGUAAAUGGCAGAUGAUGUAUCGAUUAAUUGGGAGUCGACCUUGAAGUUUGUCUUCAUCCCCAUGGUCCCGGUGUAUGUCUUAUCAUGGAAGCUUCUCGUAAUAAUAAAAUUCCCUUGGUAUAAUUUGAUCUGAUAUAUGUGAUCUUGUCCUUUGCAAUCGUGGUUCCUACCAUGUUGUUCUACAUUGAUUUCAUUCUCAGAUAAGUUAAAGUGCUUGUCUUCCACUUAUUAAUACACUAGUCUAACCUCUAUUGUGAUCUACCUCUGAGUUUUAUCCCUGGUAUCUCAGGAAUAUCAUGGAUCUAUAUAACUUGUAGUGAGAACCUCAUCAAUAGUUCCCUCGUGUUUUGGUUUGUUGGACACUCAAGCACACCGAUAACUGAAUCGAGACGCAUUGCGAUUCAACAAGUCUUAGUAAUCUUCUUUGCUUAUGAGUUUGUACUCGAUCAUGUCAUUCCAAGCUGUUAGGCUACAUCAUCAUCGUCAUGCUAGAUCUUGACCAUGCUAUAUGUGUCCUUCAUCUCUAGAACACAUUUCAAAUAGUGCAAUAUGCUUGCAUCAAGCUUUCAACAUCAUGUUGCUUGGGUUGAAAGGUAAUUUCAAUUCUGAGCUAACAAUCUUAUGAAACACCUUUCGCUUGACCGUUCCUUUGCUUGAUGGCAUUGCAAAAUGAUUACAUCUUCAUGAAACUUCUUGACAAAGGUGUCGUGAUUCUCAUCAACAUUCUCAGCUCUUCCAGGAUAUCAAUCAAAUUCGUGAUGAGAAAUACCAUCCUUGCCCUUGAUGAUUUGUGUUAUCAUCGACAAUAUUAUUGCCAUCCCUCCAACACAAACUCGUUCUUGUUUUAUGUUGUACCUUGAGUUCCUUGAUAUGCAUCUUAUGUUAUUUUCUACCUUGGAGUAUUACCAUCUUUUAUGUCAAGGAUGUAGUGAGAAUUGUUGCACCUCUUAAGGAUUCUUUAUAUAGUGAUACUUCUCUCUAGCACCAUUCAUUUCUUGGCCCCCUUGUUGUUUCUAACUGGAAUACUGACAAGUUAAUUCUCAUGUGUGAUUCCAAUACUUUUCGCAACCCUAUUGCUUUGAAGUUAGUGACUGAUAGAUUCAUUCUUAGGGUGUUUUGUUGACUCGCCCCUUUAGCAUUGGUCGUGCUACCCAAUCCGUAUUUCCGAGUGCACCCUUUGAUCAAUGCUUAAUUUUUUAUAUUUUCUUGAGAAUAUGUCGUUAUAUCAGUUGAUCUCACAAAUGAUAUCUCCUUGUUUUUAUUAUUUUGGAAAUUCAUCCCUAUCGAAAUCAUGAGGGAUUGUUGUUGAGCCUAUCGGCCACAACCUCCACUUAUCCAUGUUUCAUGAUGAAGAUUUUGACAGCAUUAUCUUUGUGCCUAUCUCAUGAAGAAUAAGUUUGAUAAAAGAAGUAUUUUCCAAAGUUCAUGUGCAUUCUUGCCAAUAGGAAUAUGACAAAGUUUUGUUUCGCUUCCUCUUGGAUAAUCUCAAGUCAUUCACGCAUGUGCAAGUGUUAUAUGUUUUGAAGAUUUGCUAUCUUCACUUCAUAUAAAUUUCUUAGUACCCCAAUCCACUAACUGAUUUGAUCAAGGAAAAUAAGUUCAUUUAUAAGAGCUAAUUGAAGCUUACACAUGGACCUUGAUAUCCUCGAUGAUGGUCCCCAAUUUAGAACUCGGUUGCAUUUGUAAGAAUUCCAUGUGGGCACGAAUGUCUUGACAUUUUGUGCAUGUGUCUUACAAUCCAACUCAUGAUUCAGGAUUUGCUUCCUUAGUUCUUAACCCAAGAAUCUUGCAUCAUAAUCUUGUCAAUUUUGUUGCCCCAUUUUCUUCUCAAGCAUACUGAGUCUGAGCUAUCCUGACACCAAUCACAUCUGAAUCUUAGGCAGAUAUGAUGGUUGGAACUUUGCCCAAUAAUUCGAACAGUAUUUUAUGGGUAAACAUCAUGAUUCUCCUUGUCACUUUAUCUAAAUGGUUAUGUACUUGAUGACCUAUCAUGUAUACCAUGCUAUGUUUUCCUUGGGAAAGGUAUACUCUAAUACUUGUGUAGGAACACAUUUUUCUUUCCAUUGGCGUGUUUAACUAUUAUGGUAAUCUAAAUUAUCUGAGCAGUGGUAAUUCCCAUCUUGGUAAAAGCCUCAAUGUGCAACUCUGUUAGUAAGACCCUGCUACUAUUAUGCAUAACAUUCCGGUAGUUGUCGGUGGACGAGAACUUUGCCUAUUGGCCCGCCUCGUUUUAACGAGCAGGAAAAUGGUUCUAUUCAUCCCCGCCCUUGGUAUCGACGUUAUUGCCAACAUAACUGACAGGCUAUCCUGGGACAUGUCUUGCUACCAAGACUGUACAAGAUGUCAUCGCUCUGCCUAUUCUUGACCGACAUGGUGGGCCCAUAACCCAUAGUUCCACAUGAUCGAAACCUGACUCUCAUGUACAUCCUUGAUUCCAAAGUAUCUCUUGCACUUGGCUUCAUAUGUAAUUCCCGAGCCACCAUUCAAGGGAUGAUUUUUCUAGUAUCAAACGCAAUAUUUAUUCUUGUUGCUCUGUGCCCCCUUUCACCUUCUGAUUAGGCAUGGAAUGAUUUCCAGCCCGUUGAAACUUGUUGGGAACAUUGCAUGGGAAACAAAAAAUUUCCUACGCACACGAAGACCUAUCAUGGUGAUGUUCAUCUACGAGAGGGAGAUCGGAUCCACAUACCCUUGUAGAUCGCUAAGCGGGAAGCGUUAAGAAACGCGGUUGAUGUAGUGGUACAACUUUGUGAUUCAAAUCACCGUUGUCCCACGAUCCGUUUCGAUCUAGCGCUGAACGGACGGCACCUCCGUGUUCAGCACAUGUACAGUUCGAUGACGAUCCCCGCCUUCUUGAUCCAGCAAGAGAGACGGGGAAGUAGAUGAGUUCUCCGGCAACGUGAUGGCGCGCCGGUGAUGGUGAUGAUCUAUUCCCGCAGGGCUCCGCCCGAGCUCCGCAGAAAACUCAUCUAGAGGAAGAACUACGAAGUAGAGGUUUGAGUUGCACGUGGCAAAAGUUGUGUCUCAAAAACCCUACAACAUCUAGUAUAUAUAGGAGGAGGGGAGGGGCUAGCCUUGGGGCUCAAGGGAUCCCCAAGGGCACCGGCCGAGAGAGGAGAGGGGGACUCCAACUCCAAUUCGGUUUGGGGAAGGAGGAGCCCUCCUCUUCCUUCCCACCUCCCUCUUUUUUUCUUUUUCUUUGGUUUUUUUCUCCUUAGCCGACAUAGCCCACUUGGGCUGGCCUCACCAGCCCACUAAGGUCUGGUGCGCCACCCUUCGGCUAUUAGGCUCUCUCCCGGGUGGGUGGGCCCCUAACGGUGAAAACCCGAAACCCACUCGUCACUCCCGUUACACUGCCGAUAAUGCCCGAAAUCUUUCCGGAGACCAAAUGAAACCAUCUUGUAUAUCAAUCUUCAUUUUCGGACCAUUCCGGAAACCCUCGUGACGUCCGUGAUCUCAUCCGGGACUCCGAACAACCUUCGGUCACCAACACCUAUAAGUCAACUAUACCGAAACGUCACCGAACCUUAAGUGUGCAGACCCUGCGGGUUCGAGAACUAUGUAGACAUGACCCGAGGGACUCCUCGGUCAAUAUCCAAUAGCGGGACCUGGAUGCCCAUAUUGGAUCCUACAUAUUCCGAAGAUCUUUAUCGGUUGAACCUCAGUGCCAAGGAUUCAUAUAAUCCCGUAUGUCAUUUGAGACACUUCCCGGUCAAUAUCCAAUAGCGGGACCUAGAUUUCCAUAUUGGAUCCUACAUAUUCUACGAAGAUCUUAUCGGUUGAACCUCUGUGCCAAGAAUUCAUAUAAUCCCGUAUAACAUUCCCUUUGUCCUUCGGUAUGUGACUUGCCCGAGAUUUGAUCGUCGGUAUCUCUAUACCUAUUUCAAUAUCGUUACCGGCAAGUCUCUUUACUCGUUCCGUAAUACAAGAUCCCGUGACUAACACUUGAGUCACAUUGCUUGCAAGGCUUAUUUUUGAUGUUGUAUUACCGAGUGGGCCCCGGGAUACCUCUCCGUCACAUGGAGUGAGAAAUCCUAGUCUUGAUCCAUGCGAACACACCGGACACCUACGGAGAUACAUGUAGAGCACCUUUAUAGUCACCCAGUAACGUUGCGACGUUUGAUACACACAAGGUAUUCCUCCGUUGUCAGUGAGUUACAUGAUCUCAUGGUCAGAGGAAUGAAUACUUGACACGCAGAAAACAAUAGCAACAAAAAUGACACGAUCACAUGCUACGUUCAUAGUUUGGAUCUUGUCCAUCAGAUCAUUCUCCUAAUGAUGUGAUCCAGUUAUCAAGUGACAACACUUGCAUAUGGUCAGAAAACCUUAACCAUCCUUGAUCAACUGGCUAGUCAACUAGAGGCUUACUAGGGACAUUGUUUUGUCUAUGUAUCCACACAUGUAUCUAUGCUUUCAUUUAAUACAAUUAUAGCAUGGAUAAUAAAUGAUUAUCUUGAAACAAGAAAUAUAAUAAUAACUAUUUUAUCAUUGCCUCUACGGCAUAUUUCCAACAGUCUCCCACUUGAACUAGAGUCAAUAAUUUAGUCUCACAUCGCUAUGUGAUUUACAUUGGAAUGAAUCUAACACCCAUACAGUUCUGGUGUUGAUCAUGCUUUGCUCGCGGAAGAGUUUUAGUGAGCGGAUCUGCACACAUUCAGAUCCGUGUGCAGUUUGCAAAUAUUUACGUCCUCUCCUUCGACGUAGUAGGGGAUGAGGUUGAAGCACCGUUUGAUGUGUCUGGUCUUCUUGUGAAACCUUGGUUCUUUUGCUAAAGAAAUGGCACCAGUGUUGUCACAAAACAGAGUUAUUAGACUUAGUGCGCUCGACACAACUCCAAGAUCCGUCAUGAACUGCUUCAUCCAGACACCCUCCUUAGCUGCCUCCGAGGCAGCCAUGUACUCCGCUUCACAUGUAGAAUCUGCUACGACGCUUUGCUUGGAACUGCACCAGCUUACCGCACCAACAUUAAGAAUAAAUAUGUAUCCGGUUUGAGACUUAGAGUCAUCUGGAUCAGUGUCAAAGCUUGCAUCGACGUAACCCUUUACGACGAGCUCUUCGUCACCUCCAUAAACGAGAAACAUUUCCUUAGUCCUUUUCAGGUACUUCAGAAUAUUCUUGACCGCCGUCGAGUGAUACACUCCUGGAUUACUUUGAAACCUGCCUGCCAUACUUAUGGCCAGGCUGACAUCUGGUCUUGUGCACAACAUUGCAUACAUGAUAGACCCUUUGGCUGAAGCAUAGGGGACGGUACUAAUCUUUUCUCUAUCUUCCGCAGUUACUGGACACUGAGUCUUACUCAACUUUACACCUUGUAACACUGGCAAGAACCCCUUCCUGGACUGCUCCAUUUUGAACUUCUUCAAAACUUUAUCAUGGUAUGUGCUUUGUGAAAGUCCUAUUAGGCACUGAUACGUCUCCAACGUAUGUAUAAUUUUUGAUGGUUUCAUGCUAUUAUCUUGUCAUACUUUGGAUGUUUGAUAUGCAUGAAUAUGCUAUUUUAUAUCUUUUUUGGGACUAACCUAUUAACUCAGUGCCAAGUGCCAGUUUCUGUUUUUUCCAUGAUUUUGACACUUUUUCAGAUGGAGUACAAAUGGAAUAAAACUUUACGAUUAUUUGUUUGGACCAAAAGAGACCCCCGAUGGUUUGGAAGAAGGCCAGAAUAGCCACGAGGGAGUCACAAGACGGGAGGCGUGACCACCCCCCUAGGACGCACCUACCUGGCUUGUGACCUCCUCGUGGGCCCAACCAACGUAAUUCCACCGCCAUAAAUUCCUAUAAAUACAGAAACCCCCCAAAAAGAAACCUAGAUCGGGAGUUCCACCGCCACAAGCCUUUGUAGCCACCAAAAACCAAUCUGGAGCCUGUUCCGGCACCCUGCCGGAGGGGGAAUCCAUCUUCGGUGGCCAUCUUCAUCAUCCCGGCGAUCUCCAUGACGAGGAGGGAGUAGUUCUCCCUCGGGGCUGAGGGUAUGUACCAGUAGCUAUGUGUUUGAUCUCUCUCUCUCUCGUGUUCUUGAGAUGUCACGAUCUCGAUGUACCACGAGCUUUGCUACUACAUUUGGAUCUUAUGAUGUUCUUCCCCCUCUCCCUUCUUGUAAUGAAUCCAGUUUCCCCUUUGAAGUUAUCUUAUCGGAUUGAGUCUUUGAGAAUACUUGAUGUAUGUCUUGCACGUGUCUAUCUGAGGUGAUCAACUUGCGGGUUUGUGACAUUGGGAACCUAUGCAUAUGGGUUGGCACACGUUUGUUUCAUGUGAGUACUCGAUGUAUGUUUUGGUGAUCAACUUGCGGGUUCGUGACAUUGGGAACCUACGCAUAGGGGUUGGCACACGUUUUGACUCUCCGGUAGAAACUUUGGGGCACUCUUUGAAGUUCUAUGUGUUGGUUGAAUAGAUGAUUCUGGGAUUAUGUGAUGCAUAUCGUAUAAUCAUGCCCACGGAUACUUGAGGUGAUAAUGGAGUAUAUAGGUGACAUUAGGGUCUUGGUUGAUAUGUAUCUUAAGGUGUUAUUCUAGUAUGAACUCUAUGAAAGAUUGAACGGAAAGAAUAGCUUCGUGCUAUUUUACUACGGACUCUUGAAUAGAUUGAUCAGAAAGAAUAACUUUGUGGUGGUUUCGUACCCGACAAUAAUCUCUUCGUUUGUUCUCCGCUAUUAGUGACUUUGGAGUGACUCUUUGUUGCAUGUUGAGGGCUAGUUAUAUGAUCCAAUUAUGUUAUCAUUGUUGAGAGAACUUCACUAGUGAAAGUAUGAACCCUAGGCCUUGUUUCCACGCAUUGCAAUACCGUUCGUGCUCACUUUUGUUACUAGUUGCCUUGUUGUUUUUGUAAUUUCAGAUUACAAAGACCUAUAUCUACCAUCCAUAUUGCACUUGUAUCACCAUCUCUUCGCCGAACUAGUGCACCUAUACAAAUUACCAUUGUAUUGGGUGUGUUGGGGACACAAGAGACUCUUUGUUAUUUGGUUGCACGGUUGCUUGAGAGAGACCAUCUUCAUCCUACGGCUCCCGUGGACUGAUAAACCUUAGGUCACCCACUUGAGGNNNNNNNNNNNNNNNNNNNNNNNNNNNNNNNNNNNNNNNNNNNNNNNNNNNNNNNNNNNNNNNNNNNNNNNNNNNNNNNNNNNNNNNNNNNNNNNNNNNNCCAGAUGUACGACUGUCACAACAGUUGGAACUGGGUCAUCAACGAUUGUCUUCACUAAGAAACGGGUUCUAAUUCCUCAACUCCUUACUUUUCUCCUAUUAUGUGUUGAUGACUUUCACUGCAACUGUUUGAAGAAUUUGUUGAAGACUUUCUAUGAAUUUCCUCAACCCCAAAUUCUUCAUGUCAGUUAAUCCACAUCUUUAUUCUACGUGCCUGCUCACUAUGCAAUCUGUUUUCACAUUCUUCACUCUGAAAAACUGUUGUUGUGAAACUUUGCACUUCUGGUCCUUUACUGUUUCCGCUGUAAGUUAUUCAUCAGUGAGGAAUUUCCUCAAAAGGAAUUUCCUCAGUGAUGAAAUUCUAAAAAUCUCCUAUUCACCCCCCUCUAGUCGAUAUAACGCACUUUCAAUUGGUAUGAGAGCAAGGUACUCCCCUGUUCUGUGUGAUUUUGGUUAUCCUAUUCACCCCCCCCCCCUCUAGUCGAUAUAACGCACUUUCAAUUGGUAUCAGAGCAAGGUACUCCCUUGUUCUGGGUGAUUUUGGUUUAACCACCUCGAGUUUUAGUUAUGUUUCGACUGCAGGCAUGUUUAAGGUGACUGCAGCAUGUCCUACCUGCGAAGGAAAGAACUUUCCCUUCUGGAAGAACAAAAUGCAAAUGCAUCUACAAGCAAUUGAUAACGAUCUCUGGUAUAUUGUGGAACAUGGCGUGCCCAUCAUCUCUGCCAGUGUCUCUGCUGCUGAUGUGAAGAAAUUCAAGCAACUCGAUUCUCAAGCGAAGAACAUCAUCUGUGGCCAUCUGAGCCCAGGCCAGUUUGGAAGAGUAAGUGCUUUGGGCUCUGCAACACUGAUCUGGGAGAGACUGUGCAAGGUAAAUGAAGGAGUAUCAACCCAGCGUGACUCUCGUGUUGAUAUUCCUCGCAAUCUCUUCAAUCGCUUCAAGAGACAUGACAAUGAAAGCUGCCAAGACACCUUUGAUCGCCUCACUAACAUAUCAAAUGAACUCCAAGCACUGGGAGCUCGAGACAUCACUGAUCACGAAGUUGUGAAGAAACUGCUGAGAUCUUUGGAUUCUUCAUUUGAUACUUUAGUUCUGAUGAUUCAAGAAAGACCAGAUUACAAGAUGCUUGAUCCAGCUGAUAUACUAGAAAGGCUAAAUACUCAUGAAUUCCAACUAGAAGAAAAGAGAGAUCUAUAUGGACCAAACUAUUCCAGACCACGUGCACUGAAGGCUAGAGCAAUUUCCUCAUCUAAAGACGAAGACACAGAUGACAGCAUUUAUGACCCUAAAGAAUUUGGACAAGAGCUUGCAUUGCUCGUGAGGAAAUUCCAGAGAUUUACACGACGUGGCCAGUUCGGUAAAUCUUCAAGAAGAGACAUGAGGAAAUCAGAAUCUUCAUCUGAGGACUACAAGAAACGAACCCGUCAUAAGUGCAAGAAAUCAGGUCAUUACAUUGCUGAUUGUCCCCAUUGGGGGAAAGGAAUCAAAGAAGAAGAAAUACAAGGAUGAUAGUUNNNNNNNNNNNNNNNNNNNNNNNNNNNNNNNNNNNNNNNNNNNNNNNNNNNNNNNNNNNNNNNNNNNNNNNNNNNNNNNNNNNNNNNNNNNNNNNNNNNNAAUGAGUUCAAGGGGAUUGGCAACCCUUUUGCUUGCGUUGGGUGCAAGUGUGUACUCUUUUUUGUGUAGGUGAUGAAGGCAGGAAGUUGUGUGAUCCUUCUAUUGGUUUGAUAACCUUGGUUCUCACUGAGGUAAAUACUUAUCUUUAUUGUGAUGCAUCAUCCCCUCCUAUUUGGGUAAAAGUUCAAUGCAGAUCACAAGUAUCAAUGCUCUUUGUCCUAGAAAAAAUCAGAGGAAGACUUUCGGGAUGAAGCGUCACGGUCUCGAGCCAGAACCUGGACAGAAGCACUUUCAAUCUUUGGUGAAGCGAUUUCGGGAGGGAUACUUCCCUCCAGGAGGGGGAAGUCGAAGCCAUCACCACCACCAACACUACCUCCAUGUGGGACAACUCAUAUCCAUCAACAUCUUCAACAAUACCAUCUCAUCUCAAAACCUAGUUCAUCUCUUGUAUUCAAUCUUUAUCCCUAAACCUCAAAUUGGUACCUGUGGGUUGCUAGUAGUGUUGAUUACAUCUUGUAGUUGAUGAUAUUCUAUUUAUUUGGUGGAUGAUUACAUGUUAAGAUUAUUAAGAAUAUUCAAUACCCCUAUGAUAUUGAACAUGAACAUGGGUUGUGAGUAGUAACUAUUGUUCUUGAGGACAUGGGAGAAGUCCUCUUAAAAACUAUCAUGUGAAGUUGGUAUUUGUUCUAUAUUUUUAUGACAUGUAUGUUUUGUUUCCUUUAGUGGUGUCAUGUGAACAUCGACUACAUAACACUUCACCAUACUUAGGCCUAGAGGAGAGCAUUGUGGAAUAGGAAGUAGAUGAUGGGUUGCAAGAGUAACAGAAACUGAAACCCUAGUUUAUGUACUAUUUCGUAAGGGGCUGAUUUGGAUCCAUAUGUUUCAUGCUAUGGUUAGAUUUAUCUUAAUUCUUCAUAGUUAGUUGUAGGUCCUUACGAAAGUGGUUAAUCAUAAGUGGGUUGCUUGUUCAAGUAAGAAUAAGAUCUAAGCAUCAGUCAAUCCACGUUACAGUUUAUCAAUAUAUUGAACGUGAGUCAACUCAAACAUGGUAGGCAUGACUAGAUAAUAUUCCAAUGUGUCCUCAAGAAUGCUUUAUCAAUAUAAGAAUAACUUUUGGCUUGUCCUUUGUCUAAUAAGGAUUGGUCUACCUUGCUGCACAUUGCUACUUUGUUAAUUUUUACUUGUCAUGAAUUAUCUUACUAUCAAACUACACGUUACUAUUAUUUUCAGUGUUUGCACUGAAUACCUUACUGAAAACUGCUUGUCAUUUCCUUCAGCUCCUCAUUGGGUUUGACACACUUACUUACUAAAAGGACUGUGAUUGAUCCCCUAUACUUGUGGGUCACCAGUAUACAUGAGUGGAUGUCUAUGAGGAGUUAUAUUCCUUGUUCAUCGAAAAUGUAACCUUUUGAUCAUUGAAUGGUACAUCACGCCUCAGUUUGGUCAUUGUAAAUUCCUUGCGUAUUAAAUACGCCAGGAUUAGCUUGAUCCAUGGUGCGAUUAUGGAUAUUGAUUUGUAUUUGGGGGACGUCAUUGGAGAUGCGCUUACUCUUCUUUUUCUGAGUUUUUCUUUUGUGGUAGUCACUUAGUUCAUAUCUAGUUGCCCCCCUAAGAUUUAGAAGAGUAAAAUUUCACUAUUUAUUUUUUACCGGCGCCUAUCCGAUCCCUUAUAAUGGCUAUAGUAGUAAAAAAAUUAGUCCAUGGCCUCCCUGACUCCUAAAUAGACCCCUCCGUGACCUGUUGGAGUAAAAAUCUCCCUCUUGUGUGUGCCCACCUCGCAACUCAUGUGAAGUCCCUCGUCAAGUACUCCAUUGACGGUGACUUAGGGCCUCAAGAGCAACCUCGCCUGUGUACGACCUCACAAGAAUUAAUGGGAGACUGAGUUAAUGCAUGGAACAUAACUUCUACUCCGAGGGGCAGCAACUCUGAGCGGAUAUCUCGAACCAGAGGUUGCAUCUAUAGUGGUGCACUAAUAACUCACAAGUAUAUGGGGUCAUUUGUAGCAUUUUGAAAAAAUAAGAGUGUCGAACUCAAUGAGGAUCUAAAGAAAGAAUUAAUAUUCUCUUCANNNNNNNNNNNNNNNNNNNNNNNNNNNNNNNNNNNNNNNNNNNNNNNNNNNNNNNNNNNNNNNNNNNNNNNNNNNNNNNNNNNNNNNNNNNNNNNNNNNNUAAAAAAGGAAAAAAAGAGAAAAAGAAAAAAUGUAAUGCAAGAAAAGAGAGAAGGGAAAAUGCUAUUAUCUUCUUUUUCGACACUUGUGCUUAGAGGGACCACCGCAUUUUUCAUAUAGAGAGUCUCAUGAGUUGUCAUUUUCAUAUGAUAGUGGGAACUUUUCAUUAUAGAACUUGGCUUGUAUAUUGCGAUGAAGGGCUUGCUCAAAUUCCCGAGGUCUUCAUGAGCAAGCAAGUUGGAUGCACCCCCACUUAUUUUCCGUUGAUCUUUCAUACACUUAUCGAUCUAGUGCAUCCAUUGCAUGGAAAUCCCUACUCCUCACAUUGAUAUCGAUUGAUGGACAUCUCCAUAGCUCGUCGGUCCGCCUAGUUCAUGUGAGACUUUCUUUCCACUUUGACCCAUUUGAUCCCUACCACCAUACUCUAUUACACCCAUAUGCCAUAUCCAUGGUUCACACUCAUGUAUUGAGUGAGGCUGAAAAUGCUGAAGCGCGUUAAAAGUACGAUCCCAUUACCUGACUUGACACCGAGGUGCUCAUGAUUUAUACUUACGUGGUGAGGACGGAGCCAUGCCAUGCUUAUAUGAUAAAAUGAGUAGGGAAUAACAUUAUUUAAGGAUCGUAUAUUUUGAACAUGAAUGAUUAUGCUAUUUAUGUUUAUGGAUAUUAUUAUGUCAAUGUUUAUUAGCUCAUAGUUUCUCAAAGAUCAUACCUCAAAGAUAUUACAUGUUGGGUAGCAUGUCACAUCAACUUUUUUUUUAUCAUUUACCUACUCGAGGAUGAGCAAGAAUUAAGAUAGGGGAAGCUGAUAUGUCUCCAAUGUAUCUAUAUUUUUUUAUUGUUCCAUGCUAUUAUAUUAUCAUUCUAGGAUACUUUAUAUGCAUUUAUAUGUUUUUUAUAUCAUUUUUUGGAACUAACCUAUUAACCCAGUGCUUUGUACCAGUUGCUGUUUUUUGCUUGUUUUUGGAUUUUUAGGUAACUAGUACCAAACGAAGUCCAAACACUACAAAACUUUUGGACGUUUUUUUGGACAAAAAUAAGACUNNNNNNNNNNNNNNNNNNNNNNNNNNNNNNNNNNNNNNNNNNNNNNNNNNNNNNNNNNNNNNNNNNNNNNNNNNNNNNNNNNNNNNNNNNNNNNNNNNNNGGAAGCUUCAGAGGGAGGCCAGACGCCGCACGACGCAGCUCCAAGGCAAUAGGGCGCGCCCACGGGGUAGGGCACGCCCUGCUACCUUGGGGCCACCUCGCGGAUCCUCGUGGCAUAACUCCGCCUCUAUAAAUUCUCUAAAAUUGGGAAAACACUAGAGAGCCCCCUGAAAUACUUUUUCCACCAUCACAAGUCUCUGUUCCGCUGUGAUCCCAUCUGGAGCCGUGUUCCAGUGCCCUGCCGGAGGGAGAAUCAAUCACAGAGGGCCUCUAUGUUGGAAAUAUGCCCUAGAGGCAAUAAUAAAAUAGUUAUUAUUACAUUUCCUGUUUCAAGAUAAUCAUUUAUUAUCCAUGCUAUAUUUGUAUUGAAUGGAAACACAAAUGCAUGUGUGGAUAUAUAUAGACAAAACAAUGUCCCUAGUGAGCCUCUAGUUGACUAGCUCGUUUAUCAAAGAUGGUUAAGGUUUCCUAGCCAUAGACAAGUGUUGUCCGUUGAUAACGAGAUCACAUCGUUAGGGGAAUGAUGUGAUGGACAAGACCCAAACUAUAAACGUAGCAUGUGAUUGCGUCAUUUUGUUGUUAUUGUUUUAUGUAUGUCAAGUACACGUUCCUAUGACCAUGAGAUCAUGUAGCUCACUCACACCGGAGGAAUGCCUUUUGUGUAUCAAACGUCGCAACGUUACUGGGUGACUAUAAAGGUGCUCUACGGGUAUCUCCGAAAGUGUCCGUUGAGUUAGCAUGGAUCAAGACUGGGAUUUGUCACUCCGUAUAACGCAGAGGUAUCUUGGGGCCCACUUGGUAAUACAACAUCACAAACAAGCCUUGCAAGUAAUGUGGCUAAAGAGUUAGCCACGGGAUCUUGUAUUACGGAACGAGUAAAGAGACUUGCCAGUAAAGAGAUUGAAAUAGGUAUAGAGAUACCGACGAUCGAAUCUCGGGCAAGUAACAUACCGAAGGACAAAGGGAACAUUAUACGGGAUUAACUGAAUCCUUGACAUAGAGGUUCAACCGAUAAGAUCUUCGUAGAAUAUGUAGGAUCCAAUAUGGGCAUCUAGGUCUCGCUAUUGUAUAUUGUCCGGAGAGUGUCUUGGCCAUGUCUACAUAGUUCUCGAACUGGUAGGGUCUACACACUUAAGGUUCGGUGACGUUUGGGUAUAGUUGAAUUAUUGAUGUUGGUGAACGAAUGUUGUUUGGAGUCCCAGAUGAGAUCUCGGAUGUCACGAGGGUUUCUAGAAUAGUCUGGAAAUGAAGAUUGAUAUAUAGGAAUAUUGCAUUUGGCUUUCAGAAAAUUUCGGGCAUUACCGGUAAAGUACGAGGAGUGACGAAUGGGUUACAGGGUUUUACCGGGAGGGGCCUGUAACAUCCCAAUUUUUCUUAAAUCAGGAUGUUAAUAGAUCAUUCAUAUGCAUAUCAUAUUUUCCUAUGCAUCAUUUGCUCUUUUGAAAAUUUUAUUCAUUAUGUAACUUCGGGCAAUUUAUUGGAGUGGAGAUAAUAUGACUUCUCCCCUGUCAAAUAAAAGUGCAUAAUGUUUCGAAUAUUAUUUGGAGNNNNNNNNNNNNNNNNNNNNNNNNNNNNNNNNNNNNNNNNNNNNNNNNNNNNNNNNNNNNNNNNNNNNNNNNNNNNNNNNNNNNNNNNNNNNNNNNNNNNNNNNNNNNNNNNNNNNNNNNNNNNNNNNNNNNNNNNNNNNNNNNNNNNNNNNNNNNNNNNNNNNNNNNNNNNNNNNNNNNNNNNNNNNNNNNNNNNNNNNNNNNNNNNNNNNNNNNNNNNNNNNNNNNNNNNNNNNNNNNNNNNNNNNNNNNNNNNNNNNNNNNNNNNNNNNNNNNNNNNNNNNNNNNNNNNNNNNNNNNNNNNNNNNNNNNNNNNNNNNNNNNNNNNNNNNNNNNNNNNNNNNNNNNNNNNNNNNNNNNNNNNNNNNNNNNNNNNNNNNNNNNNNNNNNNNNNNNNNNNNNNNNNNNNNNNNNNNNNNNNNNNNNNNNNNNNNNNNNNNNNNNNNNNNNNNNNNNNNNNNNNNNNNNNNNNNNNNNNNNNNNNNNNNNNNNNNNNNNNNACUUCGAUUCAGGAAAUUCUUUUUCCUGUGAUCUCGUAUUGAUGAGUAGAACAUGUUAGAACCAGUAGUUUUCAGUUUUACGAAAAUUAUUAUUUUUUGUUAAAACAGAUUUAUUUUAGACCUACCGGAGGCCAUAUUUUGCAAACCGUUCAUCCGGUUUAGUUGAUUCUUUUUUUUUGCGUUGUCAUCGUAUCAGCAUGUAGAUGAUUUUAUACCUGCUGCCAUAGUAUUUAUGCUUUGGUUUUAAACAAGUUGUUUUAUUGCCGAUGGUUUUAUUUGGUGUUAUGUGAUUGUGGUGAUUGAUUGGUGUGAUUGUUUGCAACGUGUAGAUUGUGCGGAGUGCGACGCAAACUAUUGUCAGGAGUGUGACUUUCUGAACCAGAAUCAAGGCAAGUUACAUGUUGAUCAUCCUUUACCUAUUGUUUUCUAUGCAUGUAGUAUUAUAUCACCCUAUGAAAAUUUAUGCAUGUAUAGGAUCAUUAUUAUUAUUGCUAUGCUAUUGAGCUAUAUCCCUCGUCUUGAAGAUCGUGGUAUUUGAAAUUUUGCUAUGCUAUGUAGACGGGGAUUGGUUCCUGUAUUCAUUGAGAUUAUGUGAGGAUUACUACAAAAUAAAUUGACUAGUAAUUCAGGAUAUAAUACACCUCUGGGCGGAUAUGGUAUUGCUGGGUGGUUUCAAGAACAUCAUGGUAUCAACCCUUUGAAUGUAAGUGGAUGCCGCCCAGGUUCAAAAAGAUCAAACAGACUUAGUGACUAGUAGCUUCCGUGCGCAACCACUAGCUAUAUGGGCUCUGGCUUAGUUGAGUAGGUUGUGGGAACCUUGCCUGGGAAAAGCUAGCAGAUGUAGAUAUAAAUAGGUGUACCGGCUUGCCGUUGGGUGGAGGUGACUGCUUCUGAAAGACUUCGUCUCAAUCUUCGGGUUUGGUCUAGUGGGUACAGUGUGCAAACCUCUGCAGAGUGUAUAAACUAAUCAUGAUUAGCCGUGUCCCCGGUUAUGGACAAUUUUGAGCAGCUAGGCCAUUGCAGUUGUUGGAUGAUCUUGACAGAUGACACACUUAAUAAAAUUUGAUGGGAAACUUAAUAAUGGUAAUAGGUUGGAGUUGGAGAUGCCAAUUCAACCAUAUGUGAGUUAUUGUAGCAAACAAAUUAAAACUUGACUAUUAGGUAGUUAUGAGGAUAAAAUCAGCUUUCUACAAAAUAACCAUCAGCCUUUCUCUUGUUAUACUAUGCAUAUACAUGUAGGUCUGUUAUAUUACUUUUCCUGUGUAACUUGCCAAUACAUUCAAAGUAUUGACCUAUAUGGCUGCAACGUAUCAUGUUGCAGGAUAUUCAGACGAGGAGUAAGGUACCGUUAGGGUCGCGAGUCUUCACUCAACAUCGCCAGUGGGCUAUGAUGGGACUCAUCGUUAUUAUUCUGCUACUUUUCCGCUGUUUGAUAGAAUAAAGCUAGUUAAGUGCUAUGCAGAUUGUUAUACCUUAUAAAUUCUGGAUCAUACGUUAUAAUAAAUCAUGCACUUGCUAUAUCUGGUUUUCAUCUAUACUGUGUGUGCUAGCGAGUCGAUCCAGGGACUAGCACAGUAAAGCACAGAGACUCAAAUCCUUCAAGGUUUGGUCGUUACAGGGCCACCCACCCGGGAGAGAACCUAAUAGUCCCAUGGGUGGCGCGCCAGCCCUUAGUGGGCUGGUGAGGCCAUCCCAAUAAACCUAUUUUGGCUGAAAGUAGAAAAAAAAGGAAAAGGACAAAAAGGAAGGAGGUGGACAAGUGGGGAAGGAGUCCUCCACCAAACCGAAUUGGAGGAGGACUCCUCCCUCUUGGGCUCGGCUGAAGCUCCUCCUUGGAGUAGGAGCCAAGCCAACCCCCCUCUUGUUCCUUCUAUAUAUAGUGGAGGUUUGAGAUGCUUUUUGCACCCCAAGCCAUUGUGAAACCCUCUCUCCAUCCACCAAUUCGUGACACACCGUAGCUAGUUCUGUACGGCACGACGAAGCCUUGUCGGAGUAGCUCCACCACCAUCACCACCACACCGUCGUGCUGCCGGAGAAUUCAUAUACCACUUCGUCUCUCUUGCUGGAUCAAGAAGUCGGAGAUCGUUAUCGAGUUGUACGUGUGCUGAACGCGGAGGUGUCGUCUGUUCGGUACUAGAUUAGGACGGAGUUCGUGGGACACUUGUGAUUCGGAUCGCGGAGACGUUCGACUACAUCAACUACGUUUCUUGAUGCUUCCCGCUUAGAGAUCUACAAGGUUAUGUGGAUCCGAUCUCCCCUCUCGUAGAUGAUCAUCACCAUGAUAGGUACUUCGUGUGUGUAUGAUUUUUUUUGUUUCCCAUGCAACAUUCCCCAACAGUGGCAUCAUGAGCUAGGUUCAUGCUUAGAUGAUAUCUUGAGUAGAAAACAAAAGAGUUUCUGGGCGUUGAUGUUCAAUUUGCUUCCCUCCUUAGUCUUUUCUUGAUUCAGCAGUAUCGUUGGAUUGUAGCGGCCCGGACCAACAUUACUCGUAUGCUUACGAGAGAACGGUUUCAUCGACUAACAUGCAACUUGUUGCAUAAAGAUGACUGGCGGAUAUGUGUUUCUUCAACAUUAGUUGAAUCAGAUUUGACCGAGGCGGUCCUUGGAGAAGGUUAAAUAGCAAUUUGCAUAUCAUCGUUGUGGCUAUGCAUAAGUAAGAUGUGAUCAUACUAGAUACCCAUACCGGCCACGUAAAAUUAGCAACAACAAAUUAGAGGACAUCUAACUUGUUUUUGCAGGGUAUGCAUGUGAUGUGAUAUGGCCAAAGACAUGAUAUGAUAUAUUGGAUGUAUGAGAUGAUCAUGUUGUAAUAGUUAAAUAUCGACUUGCAUGUCGAUGCUACGGCAACCGACAGGAGCCAUAGGGUUGUCUUUAAUUGUUUAUUUGCGCUUGGUGAUGCUUUGCUUUAUCGCUAGUAGUAGCUUUAGUAGUAACAACAUAGUUAGCGCGACAACCUCGAUGGCAGCACGAUGAUGGAGAUCAUGAUUAUGGACAUCAUGGUGUGGCGCCGGUGACGAUGGAGAUCAUGCCGGUGCUUUGGUGAUGGAGGUCAAGAAGCACAAGUUCACGGCCUUAUCAUGUCACUUAUGAUUUGAAUGUGAUGUUAAUCCUGUUAUGCACCUUAUUUUGCUUAGAAUUACAGUAAAUUAUAAGGUGAUCUCUCAUUAAAAUUUCAAGAUAAAAUUGUGUUCUCCCCGAAUGUGCACAGUUGCGACAGUUCAUUGUUUCGAGACAACACAUGAUGAUCGGGUGUGAUAGACUCAACGUUCACAUACAACAGGUGCAAAACAGUUGCACACGCGGAACACUUGGGUUAAACUUGACGAGCCUAGCAUGUACACACAUGACCUCGGAACACAAGAGACCGAAAGGUCGAGCAUGAAUUGUCGGGACCCCAAUCCUAAGCCAUAGGAAUCCAGCCUGUAACACAUUGCAUCCCUUUGCGGUCUCAUGCACGGUUAUACCCACGGCUGCCACCUUACCUUAGCCGGGACCGUUUGUUCCUUUUGACUCACGUAUGCAUUAGUGUCGCUAGCAUUCCAAUGUCAAAGAACCCGGGUCGACAUAUCUAGUCGUAAACUCAAGUGGCUCGACUAUGCAGAGAGAGGCAUACAUAACCCAGCAAAGCAGGUGUCGGUCAACAGCGAGUGUGGACGAGUCGUAGCAAGCUACAAGGACUCCAUUACACCAUGUGAAGUUUCCCCGUAGGGACAGACACAACAGCUAGGAAGGAUACAUGCCGGUCAACCAAUGUGUCUGGAGCAGUAGCGAACUACCAAGGCUCGGUGCAAUCACAAAGGGGUAUUUCUAUGUAUAGAGAGCUACUAAGGGCAUACGACUAAGUGUCGAAUCCCAUACAUAUCAUAGUGCAUCACACGUACGCAUGACAUACUCGAUAUGCAUAGAUACAACAAUGGCAUCACAACAUAACCAUACAACAACACAACAUUUAUUUAGAAGACUCGGAAGAGUCUUGCAUAAUAUGUUCAUACAGGCAGGGGUCACAUGAACCGACACUCAAAGUCAUACAAACCAACGGAAGCAUAAAAGCUAUCUCUAUACAGACAGUUGAAAGGAUAAGGCAUAAAGCAUGACUAUCUACAGAUCCCUUCUGAAAGGGGCCAGGUCGUAGCUGGGACACCAGCUACUCGUCAUCAUCGAUGUCUAGAAAGAACCCACCUGUUGGCUCGUGGUUAUCCUCUGCAACAAUUAUUAAGCAAACAUGAGUACAAGAGUACUCAGCAAGACUUUGGAACAUAUCUAUCUACUCAUGCUCAGGUAUCAAUAAAGGGGGUUGUGGUGUUUCAUGCAGCAAGCCAACUUUGACUCUUGGCUAGACUAAACUACAAUUUUGAAAUAGUUUUAACAACUUUGAUAAGUCGUACAUGAGUCCACUACCACCACAACAAUACACUAUCAUGAACUCCUUUCCGUCUCCUUACGGAAACGCCAUACAUGAUACUCACGCUUAUCUUGAUACUUUUAUGAGUAGCCAUUAAAGUUAUCUGUGAACAACAUAUGUCUCCAAGUAGUCCAUAUCCGCAGACGCGGCUAUUCGAAUAGAUCAUAACCCUACAGGGGUGUACUUCUUCACACACGCUCUCGCCACUUAUCCCUAUGUGCACGUCAUGCACCUCGGCAACCUUCAAGCGGAAGCCCAACGAGGGAGUCGACCAUCACCGUUAACCACGCUAAUACCUAGUCCAGGUUUAUCGCCUAUUUGAGAGUAACCCGCACGGAAGUCUGGCCGAGGUUUCCGCCAUGGCCCCAAACGAUGUGCGCAGGGUUCCCAUGCCCACCAUCCGGGUGCCACUUGGUACACGGUGCCACUGCCUACCGCAUCAUAGCCCACCUCUACGGUCAGCACUAUGCACGGCCUCCAGCAUGACUAUAAACACCAGAAACUACUUGCAACUCCUGGAACAAGUAUUAGGCAAUUAAUAAGUCGAGCGGGGUCAUAUUUUAGGGCCCAAAAUGUGGUAGUAACUCAUCUUGGAUUACAUACGCGGAACUCAGUUCCUAAGGACGGUUCCAAUGAAACAACCCGCCAUGUACUCCUACAUAGCCUUUCAUUGGUACCUUUACCAAAUCAGGUUCCACACUUAUUCUUUGUCACUAGAACACAUUCAUCCAUUCAUGUUCAUCACCCAGAUGAAAUAGACCUGACACUACUCUAGGCAUAGCAAGCAUAGCCGAAAAUAGCACAACAUGGCUCAAGCAACUACCAGGUAUGCUAGGUUGCAAGGUUUGGCUAUUUACUAUGAUAAUGGCAGGUCAUGCAAAGGAAUAGGUUCAACUACCGAAGUAAAGCAUUUGAAAUAUUUUGUCCUAAUGCAAUAAGUGGGAGUAGGAGCAAGAACAUGGGAUUAUAUCGGGAUGAUCAAAAGGGUGCUCGCCUUGUUGCUCAGCAGAGGGGUUAAAUCCGUCAGACGGAUAUUCCGACAUAUCCGUAAGGGCGGAGCCUACCGAAAUAAUAACAAUCAAUCACUAACAUUCAUAUGCAACAAUAUGAUGCAUGAUCAUGGCAUGAAAUAAAUUGUAGCUUGAGUUAAUGUGGCUAUCAAACUUUUAGGAUGAUGCUGAUUUGAAUUCAAUUCAAAUAUUAGUUGAAAUAAUAUAUUUAUCAUAUUCAUUUAAUUGAUUUGACCUGAUGCUAUUUCAUAACUUUGUUUGUCAUGCAUGAAAAUAGCACCAUUGUGUUCAUUGAAUUUUUCUAAUCAAUUUGCAUAUAUUAUUUGGCAAAUUUGGAGUUAUAAUCAAUUUUCCAUGAAUUUCCAAAGUUUUAGCAUUUUUUGGAAUUAUAUUAAAUCAGAAAUAGAGUUACUGCAUCAGCAUGACAUCAGCAGGUCCAACUGGCCGUUGAAAGUCAAACCUGACCAGUGGGAACCACUGGUGAGUGACUGUGGCCAGAUUUUAAUUGAAUUUAAAGUUAAUUAGUUAUUGAACAGGGGCUGGCCCACAUGUGAGUGGCUGUUUAGGGAUUUAGUUAACUAAUUAUUUUAUUAGUCUAAACUUAAUUAGCCAGGGGGCUGGCCCCACCUGCCAGUGACUCUGGGGAGGCAACCCCACCGGCGGCGAGGUGGAUCUCACCGGCGAUGAGGCUCUGGCGACCACAGGGACGGCGGAGGGCAUCGGGUUUUCGUUUCCGACAACCAAAAGGACGUCAGAGUGGCUCAAACGAUCGGCCACUCGAUCGCGAGCAAGAUGGGGCAAGUCUCGGGGACUGAGGUGACCGGAAUCGACGCCGGCGACGAGCUCGGUGGCUAUCGGAGCUCGGCCAUCAUCCAGGUCAUCAAAACCGAGUGCAAAUCAUGCGGGGUUGGGCUCCUAGAACAUCUAUGCGACGAGCUCGAGCUGAUGGAGUCCUCAGAUGGACCAGUCGAUCACCGUAGGGUCACCGGCGACGAGCUACAACGGCGUACCUCGUCGGGCUCCAGUGAAAUCGGGGCUUAGAGCUCGGGAUCGAGGGGGAAAACGAGGGGGAAAGCACCCUGAGCUCACAGGGAGUGCAGAGACGUCGAAAGCGGGCUCGGGGAUGGCCUGGAGAGGGUGAACGACGGCGGUGAACGCCGGCGAUCUGAGGAAGAAGAUGACGGUAUCGGGGCGAUGCAGGGCUCUAGAGCUUGCGUGGCUUGUUGGAUAGCUUCAGGGAGUCAUGGCGAGUCUUCUGUGCGGCUCAGGGGAGAGAGAGAGGGGCUGGAGCGACGGCGAGCUCGAGCUCGGCUCUAAUGGUGGCCGAGAGGGAGAGGGAAGAGAGCGCGAAUGGGGAGAGGAUGAGGACGGGAAUGGGUUCCGGGGAGGCUUAUCUCCCAUGCCAGCACGAUGGAGGGGCACAGGCACGCAGGUGCGUGGCCGCGCCGGAGAGAGCGGCGGCCACCUCCUGCUGCCUACUGGCGCGAGGAAGACGACAGCGCUAUGGUGGGUGCUACCUCUUGAGCUUGCAUUGGUUUUUCCCUUGAAGAGGAAAGGGUGAUGCAGCACAGUAGCGAUAAGUAUUUCCCUCAGUUUGAGAACCAAGGUAUCAAUCCAGUAGGAGUAUCAAGAUGAGGCACCAAAGUACCUGCGCAAAAACAAACAAACUUGCACCCAACGCUAUAAAGGGGUUGUCAAUCCCUUCACGAUUAUUUGCAAGGUGAGAUCUGAAGGUGGAAAGUGAAACAAAGUAAAAGUGUAGAUCUGAAAAUAUGAUGUGAAGUAGACCCGGGGGCCAUAGUGUAUACUAGAGGCUUAUCUCAUGAUAGCAAGUAUUACGGUGGGUGACCGAAUUACUGUCGAGCAAUUGAUAGAAUCGCGCAAAGUCAUGACCCCAUCUAGUGUAUUAAGUUCAUAACAAACAGAGUAACGCUUUAAGCAAGAUGACAUGAUGUAGAGGGAUAAAUUCAUGCAAUAUGAUAUAAACCCCAUCUUUUUACCCUUGAUGGCAACAACACAAUGCGUGCCUCGCUACCCCUUCUGUCACUAGGUGAGGACACCGCACGGUAUGAACCCAAAACCAAGCACUUCUCCCAUUGCAAGAAUUGUAGAUCAAGUUGGCCAAACGAAACCCACAACUCGAAGAAAAUUACAAGGAUACGAAAUCAUGCAUAUAAGAGAUCAGAGGAGACUCAAAUAAUAUUUAUAGAUAAUCUGAUCAUAAAUCCACAAUNNNNNNNNNNNNNNNNNNNNNNNNNNNNNNNNNNNNNNNNNNNNNNNNNNNNNNNNNNNNNNNNNNNNNNNNNNNNNNNNNNNNNNNNNNNNNNNNNNNNCUUAAUCCGCUUCUGCUCGGGGGUGGUGAGCAAAAUAGACUUAAGAGCACAAUCGAUAUUACCUUCAUACUUGGCCAUCCAAUCCAUGCCUAGGAUUACAUCCAAUCCCUGGGACUCUAAUAUGAUAAGGUCGGUGGGAAAAUUAUGGUUCCCGAUGUUGAGACUCAAAGCAUGGCAUCCUAUCUCGGCUGUCAUCAUGCCUCCUGGGGAACUGACAUUAAUAGGUUGGCUGAGGGUUCUAGUUGGUAAACUAUACUUUUCCACAACUACCCUUGAUAUGAAUGAAUGCGUUGCACCAGAAUCAAAAAGUACCAAUACUGGAUGUGAAUUUAGCAAAAACUUACCAACCACAGUAUCGGGGUGAUCAUAGACCUCUUCAACAUCAAUGUGGUUCACCUGAGCUCGAGGAAAAGGAUUGGGCUUCUUUGCUGCAGAGUUGCCGUUGUCGUUGCCAUUGCCGUUGCCGUUUCCAUUUCCCUGCUUGUUCUGGGGACAAUCAGUGGCAUAGUGUCCCGUCUUCUGAAACUUGAAGCAAGUGAUGUGAGUCAGAUCCUUCUGAGCUGGAGCUGACUGCUGCUGGGUGCCAGUACCGCCAUUCUUGAAGUUGUUGUUGUUGCGGUGAUUCCCAUUUCCUCCAUGGUUGUGGCCUCCAUGGUUGUGCACAGGGUGGUUAUGCUGAACAUGUCCACCAAACUUACCGGAUCCAGUCCCGGUAUUCCGUGAGUAGGGGGUGUAGCGAGGCUUCUGCUGAGUGCCAGAGUUGAACUUUCCAACCCCAUACUUUCGCCUGCGGUUCUCCAUCUGCUGAUGUUUCCCCUCCAAGAUGAGGGCCUUAUCAACCAGCUCCUGGUCAUUGUNNNNNNNNNNNNNNNNNNNNNNNNNNNNNNNNNNNNNNNNNNNNNNNNNNNNNNNNNNNNNNNNNNNNNNNNNNNNNNNNNNNNNNNNNNNNNNNNNNNNUAUCGAAUGAAUACCAAAUUCACAUGACUACUUAUAGCAUCCUUCUUCUAGGACCAAAUAAUCGUGAAGUGUUAUGUAGUCGACAUUCACAUAACACCACUAGAGGAAAAACAACAUACAACACAUCAAAAUAUCGAACGAAUACCAAAUUCACAUGACUACUUAUAGCAUGACUUAUCCCAUGUCCUCAGGAACAAAAGUAACUACUCACAAAGCAUAAUUAUGUUCAUGACCAGAGAGGUAUUGAAUAGCAUCAAGGAUCUGAACAUAUAAUCUUCCACCGAGUAAGCCAACUAGCAUCAACUACAAAGAGUAAUUAACACUACUAGCAACCUUACAAGUACCAAUCAGAGUCGCGAGUUGGAGAUUGGUUACAAGAGAUGAACUAGGGUUUGGAGAUAAGAUGGUGCUGAUGAAGAUGUUGAUGGGAGUCGCGAGACGGAGAUUGGUUACAAGAGAUGAACUAGGGUUUGGCGAUGAGAUGGUGCUGAUGAAGAUGUUGAUGAGGAUGAGUCCCCUCCGAUGAGAGCAGUAUUGGUGAUGACGAUGGCGACGAUUUCCCCCUCCGAGAAGGAAGUUUCCCCGGCAGGACGGCCCUGCCGGAGCUCUAGAUUGGUUCUGCUCAAGUUCUGCCUCGUGGCGGCGGCGAAUCCUCCCGAAAGCCUCCUCUUGAUUUUUUUUGGAACGAAACCCUCCUUACAGCAAAAGAGGGGAGCCAGAGGGCCAACAGGGAGCCCACAAUCCCCCUAGGCGCGGCCAGGGGGUAGGCCGCGCCUAGCAGGCUUGUGGCCUCCUGGUGGCUCCCCUCUGGUACUUCUUGUGCCCAGUAUUUUUUAUAAAUUCCAAAAUAAUUCCUCGUUGAUUUUCACGGCUUUUGGAGUUGCGCAGAAUAGGUAUCUCAAACUUGCUCCCUUUUUAGGCCAGAAUUCCAGCUGCGGGCAUUCUCCCUCUUCAUGUAAACCUUGUAAAAUAAGAGAGAAAAGGCAUAAGUAUUGUACUGUGCAGUGUAAUAAAAGCCCAUAAAGUGAUAAAUAUCAACAUAAAAGCAUGAUGCAAAAUGGACGUAUCAGCUCCCCCAAGCUUACACUUGACUUGUCCUCAAGCGGAAACCGAGAUCAAUAAAUAUGCCCACAUGUUUAGAGAGAGAGGUGUCGACAAAACAAGAUAAGGACAUGCAGGCAUCAUGAUCAUAGUUAGAACAGCAAUAUCAUCAUAUCAUCUCUUAUGCUAAAGUGAUAAUUCCAUCACAAAGUAAAGUAUGGAUCAAGAACCUUAUUGAGAAUUAACAACCAAUAGCCUUUAGUCAAUGAAGCAAUUGCAGUUUAUCAUAAACAUCGGAAAGAGUCAAAUAAGAGCUUGUAAAGCAAAUCCACAUACUCAAUCAUCCUUUCGUCUUCUACAAUUGCUACAACUCACGUGGUACUCAUGAGAACAAAGUUUCGGUCGGACACAGAGAAAGAUAGGGGCUUAUAGUUUUGCCUCCCAACUAUUUACCUCAACGGUAAUGUCAACAAUAAUAAUUCAUGAAUACUUACUUCCAAGUUGACAUAUGAAUAUAGAUCUUUCCCAAGCAUGUGACGGUAGCCAAGACAAAGGCAAAAAUAGGGAAUUGGUGAAGAUCACCAUGACUCUUACAAGGGCAAAAAGUAAAGGUACAAGAUAGGCCCUUCGCAGAGGGAAGCANNNNNNNNNNNNNNNNNNNNNNNNNNNNNNNNNNNNNNNNNNNNNNNNNNNNNNNNNNNNNNNNNNNNNNNNNNNNNNNNNNNNNNNNNNNNNNNNNNNNAUAGAUCAGCAAAGAAGGAGUUCUUGACUGUGUUGUAAGGUGUGAAUUUGAGUAAGACUCAAAACCCGACCACGACAGAAUAAAGAGAAUAGACGAAGGUCGUCUUCUAUGCCUUAGCCGUAGACUCUAAAGUAUGCCAUGCUGAGUACCGCACCUGAUGUGUGCCUUGACUCAAAGUCUGUUGAGAGGUACAGAGAGUGAUCCAUGAUUGAGUCACUAGCAGCGGUCAAAAUUUAUCCUUAGUAACUGAUGGACUAAGGAAUUUUUCUCGAUUAUGGAGGUGGUUAAAGAGUUCGUCGUAAAGGAUUACGUCGAUGUAAGCUUUGACACUAAUCCGAAUAACUAUGAGUAGUGAAACGGAUUCGUAUAGUAGAGUAGAUAUUUGGAGUAUUUCCGAAUAGCACAUAGUAGUAGCAUCUAUAAGAUGACAUAAAGAUUUGUAAAGAAGACACGGAUCUAAAAAUUUCAGAACCGUUGACUAAAACCUCUCUCAUGAGCAAGACGUGAUCAGACCCCAUAACUAUAUGGGUGUUGGAUUCGUUGGAAUCACAUGGUGAUGUGAACUAGAUUAUUGACUCUAGUGCAAGUGGGAGACUAUUGGAAUAUGCCCUAGAGGCAAUAAUAAAUUAGUUAUUAUUAUAUUUCUUUGUUCAUGAUAAUCGUUUAUUAUCCAUGCUAUAAUUGUAUUGAUUGGAAACACAAUACUUGUGUGGAUACAUAGACAAAACACUGUCCCUAGUAAGCCUCUAGUUGACUAGCUCGUUGAUCAAAGCUGGCCAAGGUUUCCUGGCCAUAGGCAAGUGUUGAUACUUGAUAACGGGAUCACAUCAUUAGGAGAAUCAUGUGAUAGACUAGACCCAAACUAAUAGACGUAGCAUGUUGAUCGUGUCAUUUUGUUGCUACUGUUUUCUGCGUGUCAAGUAUUUGUUCCUAUGAUCAUGAGAUCAUAUAACUCACUGACACCGGAGGAAUGCUUUGUGUGUAUCAAACGUCGCAACAUAACUGGGUGACUAUAAAGAUGCUCUACAAGUAUCUCCGAAGGUGUUAGUUGAGUUAGUAUGGAUCGAGACUGGGAUUUGUCACUCUGUGUGACGGAGAGGUAUCUCGGGACCCACUCGGUAAUACAACAUCACACACAAGCCUUGCAAGCAAUGUGACUUAGUGUAAGUUGCGGGAUCUUGUAUUACGGAACGAGUAAAGAGACUUGCUGGUAAAUGAGAUUUAAAUAGGUAUGCGGAUACUGACGAUCGAAUCUCAAGCAAGUAACAUACGGAAGGACAAAGGGAAUGACAUACGGGAUUAUAUGAAUCCUUGGCACUGAGGUUCAAACGAUAAGAUCUUCGGAAUAUGUAGGAUCCAAUAUGGGCAUCCAGGUCCCGCUAUUGGAUAUUGACCGAGGAGUCCCUCGGGUCAUGUCUACAUAGUUCUCGAACCCGCACGGUCUGCACACUUAAGGUUCGACGAUGUUUUAUGCGUAUUUGAGUUAUAUGGCUGGUUACCGAAUGUUGUCCGGAGUCCCGGAUGGGAUCAUGGAUGUCACGAGGGUUUCCGGAAUGGUCCGGAGACGAAGAUUGAUAUAUAGGAUGGCCUCAUUUGGUUACCGGAAAGUUUCCCAGCAUUACCGGAAAAGUUUCGGGCUCAUCGGUAGUGUACCGGGAGUGCCGAGAGGGGUAACGGGGACCAUCGAGAGGGGUGUCACGCCCCAAGAGGUCUCAUGGGCAAUGGGAAGAGAUAAACCAGCCCCUAGUGGGCUAGAAUAAGUUCCCACUAAGGCCCAUAAGGUUUGAGAAGGAAAAAACACAAGGUGGAAAGAGAUUCCAAGUGGGAAGGUGGAAUCCUACUCCAAGUAGGAUUGGAGUAGGACUCCUCCACCUCCAAUUUCGGCCAAACCUUGAGGGUUUGAGGCUGCCUCUUCCCUCCCCCUCCCUCCUAUAUAUACUGAGGUAUUAGGGCUGAUUUGAGACAAUUUUUGCCACGGCAGCCCGACCACAUACCUCCACGAUUUUUCCUCUAGAUCGCGUUUCUGCAGAGCUCGGGCGGAGCCCUGCUGAGAUUAGAUCACCACCAACCUCCGGACCGCCGUCACGCUGCCGGAGAACUCAUCUACCUCUCCGUCUCUCUUGCUGGAUCAAGAAGGCCGAGAUCAUCGUCGAGCUGUACGUGUGCUGAACGCGGAGGUGCCGUCCGUUCGGCACUAGAUCGGAGCGGAUCGUGGGACGGAUCGCGGGACGGUUCGCGGGGCGGAUCGAGGGACGUGAGGACGUUCCACUACAUCAACCGCGUUUCUUAAUGCUUCUGCUGUGCGAUCUACAAGGGUACGUAGAUCGGUAAUCCCCUCUCGUAGAUGGACAUUACCAUGAUAGGUCUUUGUGCGCGUAGGAAAUUUUUUGUUUCCCAUGCGACGUUCCCCAACAGAAAGUAGUACACAACAAGGCUCGUCUCAUAGAUCAAGGCUACACUGAAGUUGAAGGCAUGGACUAUGGCGAUACUUACACACCCUUUUCUAUACUUGAGGUUGUUCGCAUACUUCUUGCUUAUGCCAAUCACCAUGAUACUACUCUUUACCCAAUAGAUAUCAAAAGAGCUUUACUUAAUGGUGAAAUUGAGGAGGAAGUUUAUGUUAAACAACCUCCAGGCUUUGUGAACCCUAAAAAACCUAAUCAUGUCUAUAAAUUUCACAAAGCUCUCUAUGGUCUUAAACAAGCCCCUCGAGCUUGGUGCAAAUGCUUAAUGAAGUUUCUCUUAGAAAGGAUUUUGAGAUUGCUAAAAUUGAUGCAACCUUGUUAACUAAAAUAGUUAAUGGUGAAUUAUUUGUGUGCCAAAUUUAUGUGUAUGGUAUUAUCUUUGGAUCUACUAACCCACAUUUUAGUAAGAAAUUUGGAAGGUUGAUGAUAGAGAAAUAUAAGAUGUCUAUGAUGUGUGAGCUGAAAUUUUUCCUAGGUUUGCAAAUCAAGAAAACGAGAGAUGGUACAUUUAUCUCUCAAACCAAGUACACCAAGGACUUGUUCAAGAAUUUCAACAUGCAAGAGUGCAAAGAUAUGAUAAUUCCCAUGCCUACUACUGGACAUGUUGACCUCACUAAGUAGGACAAACAGGUUGAUCAAAAAGUCUAUCGACCAAUGAUGUGUUCAUUGCUAUAUCCAUGUGCCUCUCGUCGAGAUACCAUGCUAAGUGUGUGUGCAUGUGUGCUUGAUAACAACAGGCAACCAAAGAGUGUUAUUUUAGGGCGGUGAAAAAAUUGUGAUAUACUUGAUACAUACACAAAACUUUGGCAUUUUGUACCCCAAGGGAUCUUCUUUUAACAUUAUGGGCUAUUCUAACUUGGAUUAUGUCGAAGAUAAGGUUGAUGGAAAAUCCACCUCAGCUACUUGUCAAUUUCUUUGGAGAUCUCAUGUGUCUUGGUCAUCCAAGAAACAAAACUCAGUAUCUCUAUCUACCACAAAAGCGGAAUACAUUGCCACCGAUUCAUGUUGUGCACAGUUACUUUGGAUGACUCAAACUCUUAAAGACUAUGGAAUAUAUGUGAAACAUGUUCCAUAGUUUUUUUACAAUGACAUUUCUAUUAAUAUUUCUCACAAUCCCAUGCAACAUUCUCGGACAAAGCAUAUUCAAGGUCUUUACCAUUUUAUUGGUGAUCAUGUUGCCAAAGGGGACAUUAAGCUCAAACAUGUUUGUACCCACGAACAAUUGUCGGAUAUCUUUACUAAGCCACUUGAUGAGCAAUUGUUUUGUCACUUGAGGAGUUAGUUGAACAUCAUAGAUGCUUCAAACCUGAUCUAGAGACUAACACGGAUGCAUGCGAGGCCAUGAGCUUACAAGAUUAUCCCCUGAUACUAUUGACAUGAUGAUAUUUCAUAGCUUGCAUUACUAUGCCACCUUGUAUUGCAUCUAAUCUUUUGUAGGUACUUGGAUGGACUACACACAAUAAGGUUUCUAUCAAAUCAUACCACUAGCAAUUUUGUCAUAACCAAGUAUCAAGAACCCCUCUUUGAAGAUGAAGCAAGAAGAAAACACAAACAAUAUCCUUGACAAACAUUUCGCUUCACUUUUGUCAUUUGGAUAUAUCAUGUUAUUCCUUGCUUGACUAAACCAUGUAAGAGGACCCGCUUGAAAAUAAAGAAGGAUAGCUCCAAACUUGAACUUUUGAGCAUCCACAACAAGACCACCUACAUGCUACGUCAUAAACAUUUUUCAAUGGUAUGUAAUCAUAUCUUUGAAGAAGCUUUACUCCAAGUCAUGAGAUAAAGAAAUUCUAAGUGAUAUGAAAACAUUAAAAUACUUAAACGAAAAAUGGUAUCCCAAUUUUGAUCUUAACAAUGUGUAUGACCUAUGAUCACACAAUCUUUCUUGGCUCCUUAAGUUAAUAUACUCUAAUAAAGGUGACCUAGUCGCGGACCAACAUCUAGAUCCUGAACUUGGAUGGAUAAAUUUUCCUUUAUUGCCUACUAUGUUACGCCCCAAUUUUCCCUAGAUGAAAAUUCCUUGCAAAUCUUAUUAAAAAAUCCUUGCAAAAUUUGUCAAGUCUUUCUAAAAAAUGUAUUUGACAAGAUCUCCAAGAAUAACUUUGUCAAGUUUCUGUUUCCAUCUCGGAUACUUCAACAUUGGGCAAUUGGCGACACCGAUAUUACCCAGAGCCCCAAAAUCCUUUAUCGAUCAAUUUUAUUUCGGAGCCUCCGACUUUUGCUACUACUUGUGUUUUUUGGCAUAUUCUUGAUAUUUUCAAACAGUGUUCUCCAUGACCUUUAUUCUCUAGCAUCCCUUACUCUAUGACCCUUCUUCGAAAUUGAUGGCAAAGGGGAGAAAGAUCAAAGCUUAAAUUCAAAGCUUUAGGCGGAGAAUCAUCAAAUCUCAAGGAUAAUCAUUAAGGAGGAGAUAACAAUUUAUAUCAAUAUCUUUAAAAGGAGAGAGAAAAGACUAGGUGACAUGAAUUUAGACCAUGUGUUGGUUAAUUCUGCGAUUUCUUGCUCCUAAUGUCUACUUGCUAAAGACUAGGGAGAGGGGUAAAAGGAAACUCAUAUUUAGGGGAGAAAGUUCUACAAAUAUUCUUUGAGACAUGUUAACCCUAAGAGAAUACUAUCUUGAACAUGUCAUCCAAAUCUUGACAAACUUGAGAUUCCUUUGCAGUUUUCUGAAAGAAAUAUCCUUGUGUUAUCUAACCUUGUUUUCUCAAGUGUGUUUCUGUAGUGAAGAUGCUCCAACACUUCAAGGUAAGUGUAUGCAUCAUACCUAUGCUUAGGAUGAUCUCUUGCUUCUUUCACAUACUAUUCGCAAGAGUGAAUCUUUAACAUGGAGACACUUUAUUCUCAUAUAUUUGAUGCAUAUGGCCAAGGUACAUAUGACUUGUCAUGUCCUCUCUACUAUGUGUGCACUCAUGCAUUCCAAAUGCAAUGAUUCCUUAAAGGGAUUUCACACAUUUAGGGGGAGCUUGUUUUAGUCAUAUGUCACUCGAAGCUAUCAUAUAGCACUACCUAUUUUAAAUUGAAGUUGUGAUUCUAUGUUGUCGUCAAUUACCAAAAAGGGGGAGAUUGAAAGCACAUAUGGUCCCUUGGAGGUUUUGAUAAUUCAUGACAAUAUACAUUAUCUUCUAAACUAAUAGUUAUACCUACUUUUUUUCAGAAUGAUUAGAAAAUAUUGCAGUGGGCUCGGAAUUUUGAGGAGGAUCCACCAGAAGGAAAGGAAUACGAUUGCCAAACCUUCAAUCUUCACGACCCAACAUUUUAUAUUUAUGUGAGAAAUCACAUUUUAGUCCAUAGGAAAGCCAAUACUAUUAAAAGGGGAUAAGGUAUCUACUCACUCCGUCCGGAAUUACUUGUCAUUAAAAUGGAUACAAAUGGAUUAUCUAGAACUAAAAUACAUCUAGAUACAUCCAUUCCCACGACAAGUAUUUCCGGACGGAGGGAGUAUGAUGAUCUGUUACUCAAAGUACUUGGAGAUUAGCCACCAAAAGCCACAACAUUUGUUUCACAAAAUAUUCUGUACAAAAACCUAAACUUCAAAUUCUGUGCCACCAACUGUACACAAUCGGCCAUACUAAGUUUUCCUUUCAACAGAACCCAAAGCCAAACCCCAGCAAUUCUGUACAAUCGAGUUUUGCUUUCGUACAACCGAAAGCAGUGACCAACUUGUUGUUUCCCAUUUGCUAAAAAUCUGAAUUUCCGAGUUCUCCAAAUCAGUCUCACCGAGUCUUAGAACUGCCUAGGCCAACCUAGUCGGUCUCACGGAGAUGUUGUGUAUCGGUCUCACCGAAACGCCAAAAGUUAGAGCAUUUUGCACUAGUCAGUGCAACCGAGUUUUUACUCUGGUUGCACCGAGUUGGGCAAUAAUGUUGUACGGUUGGAUUUUUGGAGAUGGCUAUAUAUACACCUCCAGCCCCCCUCUCAUUCCUAAAGAGAGAACACAAAACAAGCAAACACUUCCAUCAUUCAAUUUCUUAGAGAGAACCACCUUCUCAUGUGUUGAGAUCAGGAUCUUCCACUCCAACCAUAUGAAUCUUGAUUUCUAUCCUCCCCAAGUUUCUUUCCACCCAAUCAAUCUCUUCUACCCAGCCAAACUAUGUGAGAGAGUGAUCGAGUAUUAACGAGACUAUCUUUUGAGGAACUACAUCAAGGAGUUCAUCAUCCCUACCACAUCUAUUACCUUUUAGAGAGUUGUGGGUCCUAGAUUGGUUAGGUGUCGCUUGGGAGCCUCCAAAUCGUGUGGAGUUGAACAAAGAAGUUCGUAACAUCAAGGACGUCGCGUACUUCCUGAAGUUCUAACCUCAGUGAGGGUAUUCCGUCGUGGAUGUAAACCAUGGUGGAAUAGAUAGGGUUGCUUCUCUCUGGACCCUUUGUGGGUGAACCCUUCAUGGACUCGCGUAGAUAUUACCAUCCAUGGGUUGAAGUCUCCAUCAACAUGCAUGUACGAUAGCACCACCUACUAGAACCACCCCACAAAUCUCUGUGUCUUCUUUGCAUUUGAUCUUCCAAUCUCUAUGCCUUACUUACAUGUGCAUGUCUUUACUUUCCUCUGCCAUAAUCGUAAACUUGCAUGUGUAGGAUUUUCUAGACUUGCUAUAAUUGCUAAAACUUGCCAACCAAUAAAAUUGGGAAAAUGUUAGGUUUUUAUUUUGUCAAGUAGUCUAUUCACCCCCCCUCUAGACACACACUUCUUGAGCCCAAAGUGUUCUAUUGAUUGACUUGAUAUGUGUUUUGGUACUCAACUUGCGGAUUCUCGUGGUGACAAUGGGGUAAUCUAUCCAUAUGGGCUGAUACACAUUCUUCUCCUACUUUCUCUCAUAGAAAUCUUGGGCUACUGUUUGGUGCUCUUUGUGUUGGAUUGAAUAUGAUGAAUCCGAAAUUUUAUGAUGCAUGUCGAAGAAUUAACCCACAGAUACAUGAGGUUACAUUUGGGUUUAUUGAUGUGUAUCAUAGGUGUUAUUCUAGUAAGAACUCUAGGACUGUUUGUGACACUUAUAUGAAUAGCUAAAUAGUUCAAUCGGAAAGAAUAGAUUUGAGGGGGUUUGUAGGGUCGAAAGUAUGUCUAGAGGGGGGGUGAUUAGACUACUUGACAAGAUAAAAACUUAGCCUUUUCCCAAUUUUAAGUGUGGGCCAUUUUUAGCAAUUAUGGCUAUCAAGUAGACGCUACAUAUGCACAUCUAAGAGUAUAGCAGCGAAAAGUAAAACAUGCAAGUGUAAAGUAGAGGGUAAGGUAGGGAGAUCAAACGCAAAGGUUGACAUGAGGAUUUUCGGCAUGAUUCCGAUAGGUGGCCCCGUCCAUGUUAGUUGAGACUUCAAUCCUCCACUACUGGAAUCAGAGAGUUUGCCAUCAGCCCCGUUCUUUGCCGUCUGCUGGCUGAUGGCAAAGACCCUCUUUAUUGUCAGCUGCCAAAAACCACACGACAAAGAGCAGACUGAUGGCAAAGAUAAUAUUUGCCAUCAGUGAGCAUUUUGCCGUCUGCCAGCUCACGACAAAGAGAGCAAAGUCAUAUGGCAAACAACUGAUUGCUCGCUGGUAUUUUCAUUUGCCAUCAGUGAGCUCUUUGCCGUCUGCCAGCUAACGACACAAAGACAACGGGUAGACGACAAAGAGCACGUGAUGGCACACUGGUCCGUUGUUUGACCGGACGUUAUGGAUGCUACUCUUUGUCAUCUGCCUUCUACCUCUUUGCCAUCGGGGGCAGACAGCAAAGAGGAUGGCGCCAUAACAGACGUCGGCCCCCACCCCACACCCCUCUCUCUCCCUUAACAUGUCUCCCUCUUUCCCCGCACCCCCGAAACCCACCGCCGACGGAGCUCUCCCUCCCCUCCUCCCCGCGACCCGUUACCGGAGCUCGCCCUCCCCACGGCCCACCUCCACCAUUGCCCACUCCUCCACCACCGCCCUCCUGCACUACCGCCCGCCUCCACCCCGGGCCCUCCUCCUCCCUGCGACCCCCUCCUCCACCAUCUCCUCCUCUUCCCCGUGACCCCCUCCUCCACCACCGUGGCCCCUCCCUCACCACCGCCCCUCCCCUUCGUGGCCCCCACCUCCACCAUCGCCGCCCCCUACUCCCCAUGCCCUUCCUUCUCGUGACCGCCUCCUUCACCAUUGCGCCACCCCACCUCCAACACUGCCCACCUCCCCGCGGACCCCACCUCCCUGCGCCUCCUCCUCCUCUACGCCCAACCUUCCUGCACCGUCCUCAUCGCCCGGCCGCCCCCAUCCCGUGAGUCCCUCUUUUCUUCCUUUUUUGUUUAAUUUGUUAAUUAGCUUAGUUAGGUUAGUUGUUACUUAGCUUAGUUAGGUUAGUUGUUAAUUAUCUUAGUUAGGUUAGUUGUUAAUUAGCUUAGUUAGGUUAGUUGUUAAUUAGCGACUAUUAAUUAGCUUAGUUAGGUUAGUUCAUAAUUAGCUAUUGUUAAUUAUCUUAGUUAGGUUAGUUGUUAAUUAGCUUAGUUAGACGAGAAGAAAAGAAGAAGAAGAAGAAGAAGAAGAAGAAGAAGAAGAAAAAGAGGAGAGACGAGAAGAAGAAAGAAGAGGAAAAGGAAAAGAAGGAAGAAGAAGAAGAAGAGGAAAAGGAAAAGAAGAAGAAGAAGAAGAAGAGAAGAAGAAGAAGAAGAAGAAGAAGAAGAAAACGAAGAAAACGAAGAAGAGGAAGAAGAAGAAAAGGAAGAAAAAGAAAAAAAAGAAGAGUAGGAAGAAGAAAACGACACCCCGACACCCCAACAUCCCGACACGGUGCCCCGACACCCCGAGACGAUGCCCUGACACCACGACACGACGCCUCGACACGACAUCCCGACACCCCGGCAUGAAACUCUGCACAACUAUUAAUACGCCGCCCCCGACGACACUUACCCCUAACCCCCGACCCCUGACACCUCUUCGGCCUCUUGUUGACCGAUAAGGUGCUCUUUGGGCUUCCAGAGGCCACUGGAGGCGGACCUCACCAGGAGAAUGCUUGGAGAGGAGAGGAGAGGCAGAGAGGAGAGGUCUCCGGAACCGGAAUAGAUGGCUUGCUAACCCUUCGACCGUGCGUCGCCAUACCUGAGGGCCCUGGGGACGAGCCAGUUAUGGCGUUCCUCAGCGUCGAUGGAACCCUAAAUGACAUUUAUAUAGGUUAGGGGUGCCUCGACGUCGAUGGAACCCUGAAUGACAUAUAUUUUGUGUAGGGGUGCCUCCGCGUGGAUGAAACAAGGAGUGAGAGUUGUUUUUUUAGAAUUUGGCGGUGGCAUCCUGUUGUAAAAUAUUUAGUUAGGUUCACGGAAAAAACAAUAAUGAUAUGUUGCUCAUCUUUGGAUUUAAAUCUGCAAUUGUUUUCGUCGUUGCGAGGGUGUGGUGUUCGACGAGCUCCGCCCCUGCAUUCGACUAGGCAAGAUGAGUGAUCGUGCGUGGAUGUACAUCGGUCACCCUAGUCAGAAAGAGAUGACCAAAGAAUGGUUUCUAAAAACCAAGGAGUUUGUGAAAGCCGCAUUUGCAAAUGGCCAGGAAACAAACUGGUGCCCGUGACCUGGGUGCGACAACUAUAAAAAGAGGACAGAGUCUGAAAUGAUUAAACACCUGCAGAGGAGUGGUUUUAAGCCUAAUUAUACGGUGUGGACAAUUCAUGGUGAGUCUAUACAACGCACCAGAGCUGAGGUGGUUCAUCGUUGCACCGACGAGCAUGGUACUGGGAUCGAAGAGAUGGUGCAAUACUUUGAUGAUGCUCGAGAUUCGGAAGAUGAGAUGGAGGAAUCUGCAAAGGCCUUCUAUGAAAUGUUGGAGUCUUCAAAACGUCCUCUCCACGAGCACACUGAGCUUUGUCAGUAGGAUGCCAUUGCACAAGUAAUGGCUCUUAAGGCUUAAUUCAACUUGGGAAGAGAAUGCUACGACGUGAUGAUGACAUUAUUUGGAUGCUUUCUACCCAAAGGCCAUGUCAUGCCUACAAACCUGUACUAGUUGGACAAAAUACUUCGUGUACUUAAGAUCCCCUAUGAGAAGAUACAUGGUUGUGAGAAAGGAUGUGCCUUAUUUAGGAAGGAGUAUGCACACUUGGACUAUUGUCCCAUUUGCAAGUCUUGCAGGUAUCUUGUGGUAGACAACGGUAUGGGUGAGAAGAGGAAGACCGAAAUCCUAGUUAAUGUUCUUCGGUAUAUUCCAAUCAUACCAAGGCUUCAACGUAUUUUCAUGGACGAAGAGACAGCCCGACAGAUGACAUGUCACAAAUUGGGAAAAGGAAUCAAACUAGAUGCAGAUGGUAAUAAGAUGGCGGUACACACAUCAGAUGGGAAGCAUGGAAAGAAUUCGAUGGACUACAUAUAGGACUAGUCAAAAUCAAUCCAAGAACCCAUUUAGAUGUUCCCGAUGUCUGUAUUAUGGCUCAAGAGGGGACCCAAGUUUACUCUCUACCGUGGGCAUGCCAAACUGAUAAGAAUCUAAAUGGUUGGUAUGUUGUUUAUGAAGUGCCGCCACAUGUUAGACCACCUCCCCUAGAUGAAGAGGAUUAUGAACCUCACAUUAACCCAGACACAUAUGAUGGAUAAUUCUUCCAAGAAACACACCUUUCCAAGAAACGUUUCGAGAACCGUCGUGCUUCACCCCAGAACAUGGAAGUAGAUAGCGACAGUGAAUCCAACUUCACCCGUGAGCCGGAACUAGCAGAGCUGGAACUAGAAGAGGUUACUGCUGCGGAUUACCUGUCAAUGCUUGACCGAUUACAGAAAGGCCUUCCACAAGUUCAUGCCAUUGAACCCGAUGAGCACGUCAUUCAUGAAGAAACGUGUGAUAGUGAUGAUGAUGAUGCAUUAAUUGAUCCAGACUAUUAUUAAUUUGUAUGCAUCCCAACUUAAAUUAUAUAUGUACAUAUUAUUAUUCAUGUCAGGUAUUAUAUUUUUUUAUGUUGUAAUAAUUUAUUUUACUUUCAUCAUGGCACGUGUUGAAAUAUGGUGUGCGCGGGUACAUAUCGCUCGGCGGGUUCUUCUUCGUCGGCGGCCCGCGUGAGGGAUGGUACUUCCAUUCCACCCCUAUCUCUCCAUAGAGCCUUGGUAGAUAGUCUGACGACACCACCCGCGGGUGCUUCUUCGUUGGUGGCGUUGCCCACUAGGAGAGGAGGUCGGGCAGGGAAGAAGGGGAAAGGUACAUGACGUGGCCAUGGGACAGGUAGGCGGACUGCUACACCAUCCUCACCACCACCACCAACUCAUUCACCCGAGCACAUGACUACUAUGUUGGACCCGUUUGCGGUGGAUGCUAUGGGGACUCCGGUCCUGGAGCCUCGGGUCUACGGGAAUUCGGCCCAUGAGACUCCGAACCAGGAGCCUCGGAUCGAUGGGCAUUCAGCCCAUGAGACUACGGUUCCUGAGGAUACGUCCAAGGAGACUCCCACCAUAGAGGCUUCGGCUAACGUGGAGAUGUCCGGAUGGGGUGCCUCGCCGGAUCGCGACCGAGGGGCCGGGUGGCCAUUCUAUUGGUGGCGGGGAUGAGUCUACGGAUAGUGAAGGCGACGUGGUGGACGGGGUAACCGUGUACAAGCGUGGUAGUACACGUCUCUCGGUCAUACCGGCGACACGCGAUCAGAAGACGGUGAUUAAGCCUGAAGGGGAGAGCUAAGUGCAUUUACUCUUUUUUUACCUUUUGCCUUCAAGUUUCUUCAAAUAUGUAAUGCGUUGACCUUGUCAUACUGUAGGGGUUGGAAACACCCCCCUGGCGUCCGCAAGCCUAACACCGUCCUUGGUGUGCUUUGUCGAACAAAUUUCCCGGGGUUUGUCACGUUGCCCGGUGAGGGUCAGGUUCCUACACUAAUAUUUAGCUGGGAGCACUACCAGGCUGCGCAGGCCCCGCCGUAGGAGAUUGUAGAUGGUGUCUUGUGCCACAUGAGGGCCGAGAUGGUGAUCAACACCUUUUGGGUAAAUUAUCCUUUUACACAAUCAAAAAUUAACAAUAUAGCUAAUUAUUGUACUAAUCGGUGUUGUCUCGUUUGAUUGCAGACCUACUACAGGUGUGAGGAGGGAUAUGAGGAGGCGGCGGCCAAUGUUCUCGAGGCCGAGUGCUGGUGUCUAUUACAGAACUUACUCCACGAGGCUCGGUCGCAGGCUAUUCGAGACUACUAUGCCAUGCAUGGUGUUAAGAAGCAGAAGAAGGAGUGGCGUCGAAAGUAUCUGAAGAAGGAGCAGUACAUGAAGGUAAUUACCUAUUCUUAAGGCCUUGUACGUAGUUUUCUUGAUUUGGAUUCGUAGGCGUAGCGCUCAAAAUUCUUUUUACUAACUUAUAGGUGCCCCGAGAUGGUGUGCGGAUAAGAUGGAUUGUUGGGAGGCGUUGGUGCAUGAGUGGUGCACAGGCAACUGGCGAGCCGUCCACGACAAUGCGAAGGAUCGGCGUGCCCAAAUGGAUGGUGUGCCACACCAUCAAGGCAGCGCCAACUUAAUUCAGUUCAGACAAAACUGGUAUGUGGUUUGCUUCCUUAUUCAUGCAAUUCAUUCUUCAUGCUAGCUUGAUCCCUUUACUAAUACUUUGUUCCUCUCUUUUAGGCGCAUCACAAUAAGAUGGAGGUGCCAGAGUUGUAUGACCUUUAGGGCAUGGCCCAUACCGCAUCCUACAAGAAGGCCAAUGCUUUCUCUAAGUCUGACUGGAUCAUCGAGAGAAGAUCGCCAACAUCUUCUCGCACCACAAGCUUGUGAAAUACAGGGACGUGGGGAAGGCUAGGAAAGGGGAGGACUUUAACCCUAGCCAGGAACCUUUGGAUCCAGAGCUGGUGAUGAUAUCUGGUGGCGGGAGGACACAUGGCUCGAUAGCCAUUGGAGAUUGGAUAAUAUGUUGUCCACUCACUCUCCCGGAGAUCAAGGCGCGCCAGUCGAGCUCCUGUCCUGAGAUAACGCCUCGUCCGCGGCCAGUCGAUCUCACCAUCGAGGUUAGUUGUACGGACUCAGAAAACUUUCAUCCAUUUCAUUGUGUGUGUGGCCAUCGAUCAUUACAGUGGUAACGAGGAGUGGUUAUAGGCUUCUCUUUAGAAAGAGAGAGAGGAAAACCAGGCUACUCUUAAGAAAGAGAGAGCGGCAAACCAGGCUGCUCUUCACGGAUUUUGGAGGAGAGGGACAUGAUUACAGCUCGGUUGUUGGAGGAGGAGAGGGCCCGAAAUGAUGCAGGUCACCUAGCCAUGUACGAGCUUAUUGUGGUAAGUUUCUUUUUCACAUUAGUCAAAUCAUGCAUGUAAUUUCUGUUUCAUUACUAACUAAUGCAACCGACUCUUCAAAACCAAAUGUGCAGUCUAUGUGCGAGAAGACCGAUCAGCCCCCUCCGCUGAUGUUUGUCUUUUCCGCGAUUGGCACGGUGAGUUUCAUUUCAAUGGUCCUUAUAAACUAGUAUUAACAUUUGAGUAUCAUCAUGCUAACGAGACAUUGCAAAAUGUCUUUUCUACAGAAUAACUUCCGAGAGGCAUCGCACGACCCUUCUCCACGGCAACAGUCUCUAAACGCACCCGGGCCGAGCAACUUUGGUGCUUCUCCUUGAUGACCAUGACGGUAAGUUCUCGCUAGUUCAUUUAUCACAUAUGUAGCUUAUUUAGUUCAUUUAUGACAUAAUUAGCUAUUUUUUCAUUUAUGACAUAAUUAGCUUAGUUAGGUAAAAAACACAAGAACCUUGGUUAGCUCAUAACUUAGCUUUUCUUCCUCCUAAAUGACAUAAUAAUCUCAAAAUAAGAAAAGUAUUGUAAUCAUAAUCUUCAUCUUCCUCUCCUUCUUCUUCUUCUUCUUAUUAUUAUUCUUGUAAUCAUCCUCUUCUCCUUCUUCUUCUUCACCCUCCUCCUUCUUGUUCUUCUUCUUCUUCUUCUUCUUCUUCUUCUUCUUCUCCUUCUUCUUAUCCUCUUUCUUCUUCUCCUUAGCUUAGUUUCCCCAAGGAAUACAUACUUAGCUAAUUAUCCUCCAAAAUGACAUAAUUAGCUAAUUUAGUUCAUUUAUGACAUAAUUAACUUAGUUAGAUAAAAAAUCACAAGAACCUUGGUUAGCUCAUAACUUAGCGUAUCUUCCUCCUAAAUGACAUAAUAAGCUCAAAACAAGAAAAUAUUG